UCCAUAAAGGUUUCACAAAGAAAUCGUCUGGCCAUAUCACCAAAAUAUUCAUGGGUUAACACACGCGAAAAAUUGAGAAAAUCGCCUAAUUUUUAUAAAUUGGCCCCUAGGCCCUAAAUGCCCAAAAUAGACUCUUAAAAUGGUGAGAUUGUACAUGUUGCUUCCCCAACUCCCUACGGAGGUUUUUGUGAAAGUUUCGCAAAGGAGCCAUCUCGAAGCCGUAUCACCAAAACAUUCAUGGCUAACACACCAGAAAAACUAAAAGGUUAUCUAAUUCAUGUAAAUUGACCCCCUAAUUAAAAACUAAAUACUAAAUGUUCAUUGAUAGCGUAAAUAAUUUUAUAUGAUCAAAUUAAUUGUUUUUCUUAUUUUGUCAGCUAUCUGUUUUAUUUUUAAGGAUACAAAUCUUACUCUAUUGUGAAGGUUAUCGUUGGAUUGUUUUUAUAAUUAAUCUCAUUGUGAGGUAUUUAUUUAUUAUUAUUAGCGUAUAUAAGAUAAAUUGUUUCUUAUCACCAAGUAUUUUUAUGCUCUUUUUUGGGGUGUGAGACUUCAAAAGGUUUUGCUCUUCGAAAUUUAGCAACACCUUUAAAUGACAGUUUUUAAUACUAUUUUUGUUAAUCAGGAAGUGAUAAAUAUGGAUAAUAGACAAAAAUGGGAGCUAAGUGAAUAAAAUAAAAUGAAUUCAGCUGCUACUUCUUAUAUUUGAUUUUUUUUUUCUUCCUUUUGCCCCCCUCUUAUCUUACAAUAUAGCAGAGUUCUAUAUUACAAAAUCAAAAUUUGUGUGGAGUUGUAAAGACCACAAAUACUAGUUUGUUUACACUCACAAUUAGAAUGGCAUCUAAGCUUUUAUGCAUGCAACUUCCUACACACAAAGGUUAGUUUCAUCUGGGGCUGUAACAGUUAAAUGUUCAAGUACAUGGCAACAAAUGGCUUCUGUGUCAAGCCCGCGAAAAAGAACAGCAAUGGUGAUUGAUGUACCUAACUCUUGAGUAAAUAUCAGAACUUGAUGCAGCCAUCAGAGUAGGAAGGUGAGAAAGAAUCCAAUCGAGAGCCCAGCAUGGGCAUCUCCGAGCCAAAUAGCUUAGCUUGGUCCUUGGAAACUCAUCAUGUCAACAGCAGUCAAUAAGGUAUUACGUAUGGGAGAGCAAAAACAUCAGCAGAGUCUAUUUGCAAAGCUUCUGACCAUACCUGAUGGUCCUUAACUUCAUCAAGACACACGUCGGGUUUCCUAACCAGAGUACUCUUGCUUCCAAGCAACCAUUCCUGGUCAUAAAAUCCAGACCACUCGUCCAUCUUGGGAACUGAGAGUAUCUGGUUCAGAUACUUGGAAUCGGGAUGAGGAGGUCUUUUAGACGCUUCAGCAAUAUGAUCAGCACCAGGAGACAUGGAAGAAGCCUUUGGUUUAGAUUGAGCCAAUGUCUUUGGUUUAGACAUAGUUAAUGGCUGACCUUUAAUUGUACCAUUGACCCUGCGCUCCUUGUUUCCAACCUCGAUAUCAGUGGCAACUCCGUGCUUGUUGGGUAACUUAAUUGUACCAUUAACCCCACGCUCCUUGUUUCCCAUCUCAAUAUCAGUGGCAACUCUGUGCUUGUUGGAUAACUUAAUUGUACCAUUGAGACUCUGCUCCUUGUUUAUCACCUGAAUAUCAGUAGUAACACCUUGUUUGUGGGAAGAUAACAUGUCUGUUUUUUGGUGAGUCUCCAUGUUUGCCAUCUCAAUAUCAGUGGCAACUCCGUUCUUGUUGGAUAACUUAAAUGUACCAUUGAGACUCUUCUCCUUGUUUAUCACCUGAGUGUCGGUGGCAACACCUUCUCUGUGGGAAGAUAACAUGUCUGUUUUUUUGUGAGUUUCCAUGUUUCCCAUCUCAAUAUCAGUGCCAACUCCGUGCUUGUUGGACAACUUACUUGUACCAUUGAGACUCUGCUCCUUGUUUAUCACCUGAAUAUUGGUGACAACACCUUGUUUGUGGGAAGAUAACAUGUCUGUUUUUGUGAGUUUCCAUGUUUCCCAUCUCAAUAUCAGUGCCAACUCCGUGCUUGUUGGACAACUUACUUGUACCAUUGAGACUCUGCUCCUUGUUUAUCACCUGAAUAUUGGUGACAACACCUUGUUUGUGGGAAGAUAACAUGUCUGUUUUUGUGAGUUUCCAUGUUUCCCAUCUCAAUAUCAGUGCCAACUCCGUGCUUGUUGGACAACUUACUUGUACCAUUGAGACUCUGCUCCUUGUUUAUCACCUGAAUAUUGGUGACAACACCUUGUUUGUUGGAAGAUAACAUGUCUGCUUUUUGGUGAAUCUCUAAUCUCUUUCCAUUCAGUGUGGGAUGAUGAGAGGAUGAGGGCCGCAGCAAUUUAGCAGGCCUGACUUCAUUCUCUGUACAUUGGAACAGAAAACAAGCAACACUAAUCAGUCAAACCCAAAGAACAAUCAAAGCUGAACAUGCUAGAUUCAAUUUUAUAAGAAAAUGUUGAAAACAGUGCUUACCAAUUACCUAACAGACAGCUACAGCCAAAAACAUAAGAAACAAAUCAUAUACACACUUGCAGAGCUUUCCUACUAUCAAUAGAGGAUAAAGCAAUAUAGUAUUCGAUAAAAUAGCAGAUGCUAAAUUUUUUGUUCACUCACCAUGCAAGAAACCGUUUGUUUCAAUAUCCUUUCUUUUUCUGUGAUUUCCCUCUGUGACUCCAGCAAUGGUAUCCUUGAGUACAACUGGAACUUGGUGGUUGGUGUUACUAACACUGAGAGAAGUGCUCUGAUUGAUGUCCUUUGAUUUAUCCUUUUCACUUUUCUUGUGUGCACUUUUGUCCUUCCCCUUCUCUUCCUUUUUCUUUUCUUUAUCCUUUCCAUGACUUUUCGCAUCCUUUUCUUUUUUCUUCUUCUUGUCUCUUGGUUUGUCAUCUCGUCUUCCUUUGGAUUUCUCUUUGUCCUGUCUCCUGUUCUCAACAUUCUCUUCCAAUGGUGGUAGCAAUCCAUGAAAGUUUCUAUUUUCCAUCUCUGAAAAGCUCGGAAGUUUUGCAUUAGCACCAAUUCUCGGUUCAACUCUGACUUGAUGUCCAUCCAUCUUGUUGGUAAAAUCACUUCUCUCCUUGUUCUUUUCCUUUUCUCUAGCCAAAUUACCCGAAUCCUUGAUAUACAUACUGUUUGACUUCGCAUCCCUUUUCGACUCAACUGGAAAUCUCUCAGCCAACUGACUGACUGCGCCAUUCUGGUCAUCUCUAAGCCUCCUAGCCAAAUCCUGCACAUAUCUUGACUCCUCUGUCUCAACAAUGGGGAGGCUGGAUUUAAAGAGCUUUUCAGCAAGCUGGCCAUGAGACUGAUCAUGGAAUUUCGCUUCCUGUGAGUUGAUGCUUUCAUUUUUGAAAUGUUCGUCUCCACUAGGAAGCUUCUGUCCACUAGAAGCCCCAGGUGGAACAGCAACUUUUGCCUCUUCAGAGAUGUCGCUUCUCUCUUUAUCCUUAUCCUUGUCCUUCUUUUUGUCCUCGUGUUUUUCCUUCUUGUCCCGGUGUUUAUCCUUUUUGUCCUUCUUUUCUCUGUGUUUCCCAUCACUUCUGUCUUUAUCCCUUUUUUCUUUACCUUCUUUCUUAUCUUUGUCCUUUUCCUUUUUAUGUUUUUUCUCUUUCCGUUUCUCCUACAGAACAGGAAAAAAUGGCAAUUCUAUAUCAAUAAAUGAAGAAACUUGAGGCAAGAAAUUAAAUUGUAGAAACCGAGUAAAAGCACCAAACUUGGUAAUCAGAUUUAGGAGUUCCGAGGAAAUCCUAAAUAUAGGCUACACGAGCAUACACACAUGAGAGCACUAAGGACAUUGCAGUAGUUGCCUAGGAAAAGUACCAACAACCGGUUGAGAACCACUAACCUUCAUUAGAGCAAAUGAAAAGGAAUACGUAGCCAUACAAUGUUAAAUUAGUAAUAAGAAAGCAAAACCACUAAACAAUGGCAUGUAAUUACAUUGAAAAAAUAGUAACAAGCACACGAACAAUUUGGAAAGCAGUGAAACUUAGGCAAAGAGCUACAACUGAAAAUUUUAUGUUUUGGGAUGGUCAAUGGUAGCCAAAUAAACCAAAAGAGAAGAAAAUCAAUGAUAAAAAAGUAUCAUCCUCCAACACAAGACAAGUCAACAACAAACUCCCAACACUUUUUUCCAGCUCUAUGUAGUUCACACACUAAAACAAGCUUCUAUAUCCUCUAGAAUCAGAACUUAACAACCUUGGGUUAAAAGGGAACAAGCAACAUCUCAACUUCCCUAUUUACAUCACUAAAAUGCACAUAAUUAACAACUGAAGAGUUGAAUCUCUGGAGUCUGACUCAUCUGAGAAAUAAAUGCCAGAUCAUCUCAAUAUAUAGGAAGUUUGUUAGCCCUCAUGAACAAGGAACAGGCAUUCAAGGCCAGUUCAUUGCUUCCACUAACAUGGGACGCCAGUUACACGACUGCUAAAAUGGACAAACUGCUUUGACAUUAGAGUAUGCUAAGAAAUAAGAUGUAGUGGUUUCUGACAAUACACAAUAAGUUGAUCCAUUUUCCAUCACUGGCGUGUUAUCAAUUACCACCUUUGUUUAGCAAAAAUAAAUUUUGAAUCCUACAUGUUACUACACCCUCCUAUAAAGUAAACACACUCCAUGCUUAUUAAUUGCCCUUCAACUGCACAGAUAAUUACAAUCUCCAUUGACAUGGAAGGGAUCUCCAUAAGUUUCAAAACUUCUCGAAAAUUUUCUACCCCUGAAUGGGAAACAUCCUUAACUCAUCUAGUUGCUCCAGAUUACCAUCUUGUCAUUAAUAUUGGGAAGGAUGAAGUAACAGUGCAGGAACAUUGAUUUUACAAGAACUGGGAAUAUAACGGGAACAGGACAUUAGGGAAUGCAAAACCGAAGGUAACAACAUCUUCUAGACGAAGUCAUUCUACCGCAGGCUACAUAAGAGGGAUGACCUAGGAUUUCCAUAUCAUUCAAUAUGGAUACUGAGAGCUCCAAGGUUUGCUUGUUAGCUUGGAUGGCAACAAAAGGUAUCCUAAUGGUAGAGAACUCGAGGAAAGGGAAAAUAACGUAUAUUAGCUGGUAUUCCUUCUUUCUUUUUUUGAACAGUAAAAUAUAUGUUAGAUGAUAUUUCAAGUGCAAGCGUUCAGGAGAAGACAAGAAGCACUUGCUAAUGCACUGUAAAAUAGCAAGUCAAUUGUGGUGGACAGUCCUUAAUGUUAAGAAACAAUGGACUAUGCCAGAAACAAUUAAGGAUGCGAUGAGCAGUUGGGCGUACAGGAAGAGAGGAGGAGAGGUAAAGCAUCUGGUGUAGCACCCUAUUCACUUCUUGUGGGCACUUAAAAACUUUUCUUUGAAUAACCUAGCUGCAGAUUCAAAGUUUAACCUUUUAACUCAAAUAAAACUUCAUAAUGAAGCAUAUAUAGUCCGCCACUAUGAGUGGAAACUUUUAAUAGAAUUUAUUUUUCUUCCCUUUUUAGCGACUGCUUCUAGCUAUACUUAGCACCAUUAUGAAUUAUGAGGUAUAAAAGAUAUGAUUUGUAUGGUUGGAUUAAGAUACCUCCCAAUCUGCAAUGUGACAAUACCCUGUUAAGUUACCAGACAGCAAGACAACCUAUACCUCCCUUCUCAUUCCCUCUUCCUCUUAAGAAAGAAAAGAACGGGGGAAUUCCUCCUCUACUUUGCUGCAUCUUAGUUUUCUACUGAAGCUAAAAAUCCUUCUUCCCAUGAGAUAAGAGCGCUCUCUUUCCCCUCACACACUAAAGCUAAGCUGACCAAAACCAGUCAGAAUGUUGGCUGCUUCAUGAAGCAUAGCUUGUGGCAUCCACAGGCAAGGCAAUUUGCGCAGAACCAAUUUUCCUAGGUCCAUCUUCAAAAGAAUUCUCGGGCAAUACAAGGUCACCUUCUAGAAAGGUGAUCACUGAAUAUUAGGUUCAGGUCUAAGUUAUUAAGAUCAUUCAAGAGACUAAUAAAUAAAAGGCCUCAGGUGAACAAGUAUACACAUGCAAAAGCUUGCAAUUCACUUCCUAUUCUAGGACUUGGGACUGCCUGAAUUGGUGAACUAAUUGUAAAAGAAGCCUCUUCUUGUUUUCAGAUAAGUUAUACUGAAAGGAACUAGUUCUAAAUGAAAUCUGUAACCAUAUACACCCUAAUCUUGGUGAGGCACACAUAUUCUCUUCUGCAAAAUCAUUCACCUAAUGUCAGAUUUUGGCUCAACAAACAGCCCUAAAUGAAACAGGUAGCAUAUGUUCAGAUAUAACAAUUCACAUUCUAAGGAACAACAAAGGCUUUCCAGGACAACCAUUUUGUAUGAGGAUAGGAGACAUGCAAGUAUUAUUAGGCCUUCUGGUGUUAUUUCAUUCAGAUCGACUGUUUAUAUCAUGUUUUAAUAGGAGGUAAUCUAAUAUCUUGAAAGUAAAAGACAAGAAUAGCAGCUAGAUCAAGAGUAGAAAAAGAAUAUCAAGUAAUGACUGGCUAAAUGUGAGCUUCUGUAUAAAGCAACUUCUCAAAGAGUCGAGGUACAGAGAAGAUGAACCAAUGAAAUUGAUCAGCGAUAAUCAGUUGCAUUGCACAUUGCUUCAAAUUUGGUGUUUCAUUAAAGAACGAGUUGUUUAAAAAUAGACUAUAAUUUUACUCAACAAAAGAUUGAGGUUUCUUCAACUCAAAUGAUUAUAUGGAAAAAAUUCUAAGAAAAAUAUUAUCUGGCUCCAAAUUGAGUAUACUCAAAACAAGUAUUUCUUCAACUUGAGAGAUGGAGUUAAGAAUAUUCUAAAUUUAUAGUCAAGACCUUGGGAAUAUCUGAAAUAUCGAAUCUUCAAAUUGUAAAUUUAGUCAUGUCUUUGUUUUUAACUCGUAGAUACUAAUACUGAUUGAAUCUCAAAAUGCUUGAGAAAACAUCAAACAAUUCAUUCUCAAAAUCUCAUGUUUCUCCUUUCUUUCUUUUUUUUAAGACAAAGGUAAGUAUCUCGUGUUUCUCCUUUCUUCAUGGAUAUCGGGGGGACACUAUGAAACACACAUAGUACAGGUUGCCACUGAAAGAACAUGUGCAAAAGCAUAUUUACAUAAAGCAAAAUGGUCAGGCAGUGAUACGCCCAUUCAUACUUAAGUAGCACAUUCAAAAUAUUUUAAGAGAAAACAAAAAAGGGAAGAGGAAACUGUCAUACUCAUAAUAACUAAAAUGACGCCAUUUAACCUGAGGAUAUAUUUGCUUGGCUGCCACAAAAAUAAAGGCAUUCUCCACUAAAAUCUAAGGUCUUCAAAAGUAACGAUCCCCAAUAUCCUCAGUAAGUUCUACAGAAAGGUUAUUUUUCCAAAGGUUUUAAGACAUCACACGGCAGAAAUAUCCACUACACAGAACCAUGGUGUACCCCUUCACACAAAAGGUGCUAAUGAUAAGACUGAUCAAUAAGUUUCUCUUUUCUUCAUUUUGUAUUCUUUUCACCAACGACAAUAAUUACAAUGUCUGAUGAGUUUUCCAGAACUCAAUGAGCAACACUAGAUGAAAGAGACUGAUCAAUAAUUGCAACAUAUCACAACUGUUCCCUUAAGAUGUCAACUAAUGGAUUCCACGAUUAUCCAAAGAAACUCAAUGGGUUUUACUUGCAUUAGUCAGCCAAAUUCAUCUUAAAUCCAGAAUCUUUUUUUCAUAUCAAAAACUUAAUUCCCAAAAGGAAUGACUAAACCAUGACCAAACAAAAGAAUCAGGCAUCACGUCCUCACUAAUCUAGAAAAAACAACAAGCAUAUCCCUAUACAUCUCUUUUAAACAAGAUUACCCUAUCACUGAGCAAAGCUUCAAAAGAGUCUUCUCCAUAUAAAUUAAUCCAAUCACAUUACUGAUGUUUAAAGUAUCCUUCAUACUUCAAAGAUUACUUUUUAAAAAAUCAAUCCAUCCGAAUAUGUCCAUGCAUCACAGCUAAAUCCCUUUAUAAUAAGGUAACCGUCAUGAAAUAUCAGUAUUGGUAUAACAAAAGCAUAUCAACACAAUAAUGAUAUUGCCAUAUAACUUAAACAAACCUCUUUUAAUAAGUCCCUGUCCUCUGGUCUAGGCUUCUUAUCAUAUCCUGGUGGUGGAAAUGGAAAGCAACGCGACAUGGCACAGAAUUCUACUCUGAGUUAAAAAGGCGCUGUUUCGGAAACAGUGUCCUUCAGUUACUUUCUCACAGCAGUGUUCCAGUAACAAGCAACUAGACUUCUGUCCAUUCACCAUGACCCCACAUUACUUUCCAGCUUCAAUGCACCUCCAUUUAAUCCUUUUAACUCAAAUCAGUCCAAAAACCAACCAACAGCCAAAACCAACUUAAUUAAACUAGCUCUUCACUUCAAAUAUCCCAAUGUGAUCAACAGAGUAAUCUGAAACUCCUUUCAAUAUACUCUAAAUCUAAGACGACCGAGUUAAAACACGAAAAACCACCACAAAAGCCUUUCAAGAGCUAUGUCAAACCAAAUGAUUUUCCUUUUCCAAAGUAAUCUGAUCCUUUUUCUUGUCUGCAAAACCAAAACUUUACAAACGUCACCUCUUGCAUAUCAAUUCCAAAUGCAAAUAACACAAGCAUUCCCUACACUAUUAAGCCUACACAAAAAAUGACGAAAAACGCGAUCCCCUUUUCACCUGAAAAGCUCGAAAACCUCCUUUUCUUUUUCCUUUGCUUCAGUAGUUCCCGGUCUCUAGUAGUACAUACAGUCCUCUUCCAUACCCUAAUCUCUAUCAUUCAAUUCCCAACCUCAAAUAUCCACCAAAGACCAUAUUUUCCCUCCGAUCUGGAGCUGUAAAUUACUCAACAAAAAGCUGAAUUCAACACUGAGAAAGUUCCAAUAUGCUGAUCAAACCCGAAAAUUACUUGGCGCUUUCCCCCAGUCACUGAUCCGAUUUGAAAACCCUAGAAAAUUCCAUCAAAACCAGCAAAAGAACAAUCAUUCAGCACCCAAGAACAGAACAAAAACCCUAAAAUUUGUACAGAAAAACUCAAACUUGUUUCAGUUUUGUGGAAUCAAAGUGAAAAAUCCAACACCCUUUUCCAAAAAUCUCAUCUUUUCAUCAAAAAAACUCAAAAAUUCCCAUUUUAAUUCAAAAAUCAAGAACCCCAAAUGGGUAAAAAAGAAAAAAUCUUUAGCUGAGAUUACAAUCAAUGAGAUUAGAUUUAAUUCUUAAUUUGUUAUUUUUUACCUUUUUAUGAGGGAUAAGAUCUCAACCAAUAUAACAUGAAAAACAAUAAGGAAAGAAUGGGUUUUUGCAGCCAAAAUUAUUGUAUUUUGAGUUUUCUCUUUGUUAUGAUGAUGAACAAUAGGGUUUGAGAAAACUGGGUUUUUUGUGUUUUUAAUUUUUUUUUUCCUUUUUUGGUUUUGCUUUGCUGUUUUUUCUGUUCUGGGUUUGGGGGAAAUGCACGCAAAAUGGCCAGGAGAAAGAGGGAAAAAAGGGAAACAGAGGGGUAAGAGUCUAAGCCUCACAUAUAUAUAUAUAUUGACAGAGAAAUGUUUUUGUGAUAAAAAAAAAAANNNNNNNNNNNNNNNNNNNNNNNNNNNNNNNNNNNNNNNNNNNNNNNNNNNNNNNNNNNNNNNNNNNNNNNNNNNNNNNNNNNNNNNNNNNNNNNNNNNNNNNNNNNNNNNNNNNNNNNNNNNNNNNNNNNNNNNNNNNNNNNNNNNNNNNNNNNNNNNNNNNNNNNNNNNNNNNNNNNNNNNNNNNNNNNNNNNNNNNNNNNNNNNNNNNNNNNNNNNNNNNNNNNNNNNNNNNNNNNNNNNNNNNNNNNNNNNNNNNNNNNNNNNNNNNNNNNNNNNNNNNNNNNNNNNNNNNNNNNNNNNNNNNNNNNNNNNNNNNNNNNNNNNNNNNNNNNNNNNNNNNNNNNNNNNNNNNNNNNNNNNNNNNNNNNNNNNNNNNNNNNNNNNNNNNNNNNNNNNNNNNNNNNNNNNNNNNNNNNNNNNNNNNNNNNNNNNNNNNNNNNNNNNNNNNNNNNNNNNNNNNNNNNNNNNNNNNNNNNNNNNNNNNNNNNNNNNNNNNNNNNNNNNNNNNNNNNNNNNNNNNNNNNNNNNNNNNNNNNNNNNNNNNNNNNNNNNNNNNNNNNNNNNNNNNNNNNNNNNNNNNNNNNNNNNNNNNNNNNNNNNNNNNNNNNNNNNNNNNNNNNNNNNNNNNNNNNNNNNNNNNNNNNNNNNNNNNNNNNNNNNNNNNNNNNNNNNNNNNNNNNNNNNNNNNNNNNNNNNNNNNNNNNNNNNNNNNNNNNNNNNNNNNNNNNNNNNNNNNNNNNNNNNNNNNNNNNNNNNNNNNNNNNNNNNNNNNNNNNNNNNNNNNNNNNNNNNNNNNNNNNNNNNNNNNNNNNNNNNNNNNNNNNNNNNNNNNNNNNNNNNNNNNNNNNNNNNNNNNNNNNNNNNNNNNNNNNNNNNNNNNNNNNNNNNNNNNNNNNUGGGGUGGGGGUGUGAUUCAUCAAACAUGUCGAAUCAUGAGGGUCUAUUGUACAUAGUUUAACUCACUUUCAUAGCUCGAAUAUGUGAUUAUUAGGUUAUAUGACAAUAACUUUACUAGUUACGUUAAGACUGUUCACAUACACUCUUUCUCUUUUUCAAUACUUGAUCGUUUUAGAAUCGACUUCAUAUACAUGCAAAACUAAAGAAAUUAGGAUUUGAAGUUGGUAACUUCAAUUAUAUGUAUCUAAAGUUGGAUUUACUAAAAUGUAGCUUUAUAUUUGUAUGUUUGAAAUUGGUAUAUUGCUUGUAGUGUUUGAACUUCAAACAUUUAAUUAGGUCUGAAGUUAAGCUUGACACUUGACCGUUUAAACUUUAGGAUUGUAUAUUUAAAGUUGCAACUACCAUAUCUCUAACUUCAGACUUAAACAUUUCGGAGUUAAAAUUGCAAAUUUGAAUCAUACGUAUUUAAAGUUGAAUUUAAUAAAAUCUAAUUAACUUCAAAUUUUCACGUUUAAAAUUGAUAUAUUGCUUGUGGUAUUUGAAUUGCAAAUAUUUACCUAUGAAGUCAAAUGGGAUUUCAACUUUAGACAUGUAAGUUUGAAAUUUCAAAUUUGAGUAUUCUAAACUUAAAGUUGCAAACUUUAAUUAUAUGUAUAUGAAGUUGGGCUUAUUAAAAAUCUAUCUUUAAACUUGUAUGUUUGAGGUUGGUAUAUUCAUCAUAGUAUUGUUCCCUUAUGAAACUCAGCUACUCAUUAAUAGUAUUUUCUUGCAUUUACUAGACAAUGGAACAAAUAAAGUUAUAGUUUAGCUUGUAUAAUUAAAUGUUCAAGCUUUGGAAAAUUAGUUUUUUGUUUGGUUAUGUAACGAACGAUGACAAAAGUAAUAAAGGCGAAUCAAAUAAUAUUUUUGUGGAAGUGUCUCCUUCAUAUGAUAAUGAAAUAUUUAAUAUUUAUUUUCUCAAUAAUAGAAGUACUCUUAAAAAGUGAAAAAUAAAAUCGUGUUAUUCAUCUAAGUAUGAUCUAAAUUUUUAUAGUUGAUUAUGAACUUUUGAAAAAAUAGACAAGAUUUUCUUGUUCAAGAACAACAUUUAUGAAACUUCCUAUAAAUUGGGAAUUAAUGUUUUGAAAUAGUUCAUUUUUUUAACUAUAUAAACAUGAACUCACCUAACAAAAUGCAAGAAUUUUCCUAAUAAAUUGUCAUCAUAUCUCAUUUGCAGAAUUCAAGGUAGUUUAUGCUUAAAAUUUUGUUUUCCAAAAUAUUGGCUUUUCUUUUAAUGCAAAUCACAAAGCUCUAAUUAAACAAACUUGCAGUGGCAAUUUGUUUAACAAUUUAUUUUCCAAGAUGCUUUCAAAGUUUAAUACUUACUUCCAUAAUAAUAGUUGUUCACUUUUCCUUUACGGGCUUCUUAAUUAAAUAAGAAGAACAAUUUUAAUAAUUUACUCUUUAAAAAACUUUUUUGAAAUUUUACAAAUUUGUUUACACUUUCAAAACAACUAAUUAUAAGUGUAAAUUUUAAAAAAUAAAUAAUUAACAUGUCUCAAAUAUUGACAAAUAAUUUGGGACAAAACUUUUAUAAUAAAGUGGACAAUUAAUAUGAAAUGGAGGAAACAUAUAUCUCUCGUCUUUCAGAAUAUCUUAAAUUUUGUUAGUCACAUAUUGUCAUAGAUAAGAAAAGUUAGUGUAUUGCUCUACACAUAUUAUGAUAGAAAACUAGUUAUAUAAUCAUGGUGUAUAAUAUGUUAAUUUUGUUUUUUUUAAUUAGAUCAAUUUUCUUAUUCAUAUAUACAUAUUAUGUUAAUUUAUUUAUUUUUUAUAUUUACUUCUUUAUAUUUUUAAAUCCGUCCGACCUAUAGCUUUACCUUAAUAUACGUACAUGAGUUUCUACUUUGUGCUUCAAUUCACAUUUUGCAUUAAAUAGGCAGACAUUAAUAAAAAUAUUUACAAAAGCAGUAAUUAAUUAGUUUGGCAUUUUAUAUAUGUGGCUUUUUUGUUAAAACAAAAUUGCAAGUUGUGGAUAUUUGGGUGUAAUAAACUUGUAUUCCUAGUAAGUGCAUAUUUUGAUUUGUCUUAAAUGUGAUUAAUUAAACUCGCGAUAUUGUGAUAUAAAUUAUAAUAUAUUGAUCGCUAAACAUUUUCUAAAGAAUAAAUACAAUGUAUUUUAUAUGUGCCUUUUUUUUCUCACGUCAACGUCACCCAUGUGGAAUAAGAAAGUCGAUUUGUCUCUUCAAUAUGCAAGUAUGUUUAAUAAAACUAGGGAUGCGCAUCGGUCGGUUCGGUUCGGUUUUAGGUGUUAUUGGUUCGGUUUAUCGGUUUUCGGUUUGUAAAUACGCCAAACCGAUAACCAAACCAAUAACAUAUUUCUUAUCGAUUUUUGGUUAAUCGGUUUAUGGUACUUAACGGUUCGGUUUUCGGUUUAACCAAUAAGAAAAUACUCAUAUAUAUUAUAUACACGAUAAGAAAAUUUCAAAUAAACCAUAUGAUUUUUCCAGCAUUUGGCAUGAAAGUAAUAAUCAUAAAAGUAACAAUCAUUUUUCUUGCAAGUUUAGACACUAGACACAUUCAAAGGAAAAAGUGUGAAAGUAACAAUCGUUUAACCAUUAACAAUAAGACUAGUAAAUUUAGUAUAGUCUUAUUGGGUUAUCGGUUUAACCAUUAACAAAAAUUAUAAAACCGGAAACCGAACCAAUAACCCAAUAAAAAAAAUUGCAAAACCGUUAGCCCAAUAACCCAAUAUCAAUAAACCAAUAGUGUUUUUUUCGGUUCGGUUUAUUGGUUAAAUCGGUUUUUGCACACCCCUAAAUAAAACAACUCAAGAAAAAGGACUCAAUCUUAAUUAUUUAUCUUCAAAUUAUCUAGACCAAGUAGAAAGAAAUAAUGUAUCUGUUUGAAAAAACGACAUAAAAUAGAUAUCUUAUUCACUUUUGUCCUAAACAAAUAAGGUAAAUAAUAACUUUCAUUUUUUAAUUAGAUAUCUCAAAUUUUGAUCCUAUAAAUAGAGAAACUUUCAAUGAAAACAAAUUUCAUGAAACAUAAAUUUAAAUUAGUUAAACUUAUGUUUUGUGAAUACCAAAUGCAUACAUAGGAAAAGAAAAUAACAUCUCCUUAUAUAAAACAACCUAUAAGAAAACAAGUGUGCACUAGAAAACACAAAAUCAAUAAGAUUUGUAGCUUUUUAUUAUUGGUAUAAAUAUAAACUUAUACAUCUUCAAGUGUACCUUUAAUAAAUGACUUUCUAUUUUUGGUAUUUACACCAAAUACAAAGAAUCUUGAAUAUUAUUUUUUGUACUUUUACUUUCUUAUUUCUCAGCUUGUGUAGCCCUAGUAGUAUUUUCUUCUCUUAAUAGGAAAAAAAUGUUAGAUAAAUCUGGGGUACAUUUAUUCCUUUAAAUUUAAACAUUAGCUUAAAAGAACGAAACAAUGAGGAACGAUCCAACCAUAAGGAGGAGGAGACGCUACUGGCAAAGACUAUCUUGAUGAUCUAUUUAUUUUUACCCCUAAGAGAAAGUCGUCAAAAAGUUCAUUUCAGGAGUGAAAGAAAAUCUGACAUACGUAAAUCAUAAUAAUACGUGUUAUGUGCAUUCAUCGUUUCUUAUUCAAGUAAGGAUACUGUUUGAUUUAAAGAUAAAUUAUGUCAAACUAUUGUAUGAAAUAGCAAACUAUUAAUUCAAAUUAACUGUUAUAGCCAUAGUUUCUUUUAUUUGUAAUUCGCAGCAAACAUUCCAUGUUUUUGCCAUCUCAUGUUUUUGCCAUCCCAUUUGUAUACCGAAAUAUACAAAUAGAGGAUCCAUUUGUCUACCGAAAUAUACAAAUGCAGGAUCCAUUUGUAUACCGAAAUAUACAAAUGCAGGACCCAUUUGUAUACCAAAAUAUGCAAAUGCAGAACCUAUUUGUAUACCAAAAUAUACAAAUAGACACAAAUACAUAUUUUUUUAUGUAUAUGUAUACCGAAAUAUACAGAUUAAUAGUGAUAGCAAACAUAAAGUUUGCUAUGGAGUGCAAUUAUACAAACUAUAGUCAUAGCAUACAAAUAUGAUUUUUAUGUGUGCUAAACCUAAAAUUUACUCUUUUAUUAUUCACCCGAUGUUUGUGAGCGUGUGGUUCACGCGCUUAUAGGAGCGUGAAAGAAGAGUUGUAGGAAAAGGCCAUUUUGCCUAAUCUACAUGUGGGUUGGUUCCUUCCCCAUUGUGAAAACAUCAGUCUUGUCCAUCCACGUGUCACUUCAGGGCUAUUUUUAACUAUAUAUCUAACCGUACACGUGUCCAUUUGUCACCUUCCAAUCUUUGAAAUGACAAAAUUGAGUUCUUCAUGUGGAGGGGAGCAACUAAAUGAUCGUUCUAGUUCUAGUAUGGAGAAUAUAACAUAGGGGCGGAGCUAGCUAGGAUCAGGGGCGUAGCUAUAGUCAUCUCAGGGUGUCUAAUUGAACACUCUUUAUCGGAAAAUUACAUUGUAUGUAUAUGUCAAAUUAUAUAUUUAAAGGAUAUAUAUUUAAAGUUUGACAUCUUUAACAAAAAAUAUGCCUUUGGCGUAGUGGUAAUGAGUGUCCAUUCGAAUGGAGUUUAGGGUUUGAACCCAAAUAGCACAAUAUUUUUUUGCUUUAUUUUGACUGUCACACACCAUUAUUCUUGGAUACCCUUAAUAAAAUUUCUGGCUCCGGCGCUGGCUAGGACUCAGGGUAUUCAUUGAAAAAUUAUAUUAUCUUUUUACGUAUAUAUGAUAGAUAUUGAAUUCUUUUUUAUUUUUUCGUGUGUUUAAUUCGAACUCUGCCAUUAAUCAUGAGGUGUAGUAGAAUAAAGGAGGUACUUUACGAGGCGCAAAGUUAUAUUAUAGUUGUCAAACUUCUUAAGGUGUAUGUAUAUUUGAAAUUUGAAAAUGUCAUUAUGAAAUUUCAGGACAUUAUCAUGGAGUUUCGUUUAUGGAAUUUAAAACUUCAUGACAACGGCUAUUUUUUCAAUAACAUGGCUAAAGAAUGGCUAGCCCACGCAUUGUUACUACUUACUACAAAAUGAAUAGUUUCUUAAUUAUUAGGAAAUUUGUUGAUAUGGGCCUAAAGGUCUUUCAUAGGCUUCUAUUUAUUUGGGCCUUGACUAUCCUACCCAGCCCAGUAAUCCAGCCAGCCCAUGUAUAAAUAUAUGUUCUUGAAGGUCAUAUAUCUUGUUUAGGGUAUGUGUUUUAGACCUGGGAAUAUCGAGUUCAUUUGAGUUCAGUAUUUUAGAUGCAAAAGAUUAAAUAAAUUUUAUGGAGUUUCAAUGAAUGUCCAAUCCAGACUUGUAGGUUAAAGUAUGAUAGGUUUAGUACUAAGAACCUUAAAUGUUGAAUCUAACAAGUUAAAAUUCUUAAUAUAUUCGCAUAUGAGUUUAGGGUUUUCAGUUUCAUUUUCAUUUUAGUUAGGCAUAAUUUCAUUAGAUCUUAUACGAUAACUAAGGAUCAAAUUUCCUCUUGAACUUUGCAAAUGGUUCACCCUUUAGCUAUUGUUGUUAACUCAUAAGGGCAAAAUCGACUCACUUUAUUAAUACCAAGAAGGGAGAGCAAAGUUACGUUGUUCCAUUUCGUUUAUAAGAUACUUCAUUUAGUCCAAUAUAAAUGAAUCCCUUAAUAAAGAUAUUUAAGGACAUAAAUUAAAGAGUAAUUUUCAAUAUUAUCGUUUUGAUUCUUUGCCAACUCUUUUUAAAAGUAGUUAAAAACCUCAUUAAAAAAAAGGAUAAUCUGAAUGAAUAAAUAGAUUAAUACUUUUAAACUUUAAAAUUUUCACUUAUUUUGAAUUAAAAAAGUCUCAAUAAUUCACUAUUUCACUUAUAUUGGACUACCAUUUUAUAUGCUUUUAUGAUUAGUGGUAUAUAAUACAAGAAAUUAAAGAAAGAAAAUUUGAAAGACACAUCAUGUGGCCUAUCUUUACUAUUUAUUCUUAGGAUGUAUGAUUAUCACCAUUAUUUUGUCUUUAACAUGAUUUUACACACUUUAUUUAGAUUAACAUAUUUAAAUUUAUGCCUCCCUUUUUAAAUCUUCAAAACAUAAAAACAAUACAGAAGAGAACCGAUAAAUAUAAAGUCAAAGAAAAACAUAAAAGAGAAUCUUGAUUUUUAUCAUUGAUAUAUAUCUCAACUCAUUACAAUUCUUGAUUAAUGACAAAGCUUAUCUGCACUAAUUAUUUUUUUGUACAGAAAAACUAUUAAUUAAAACAUUUAUUACAAGCCCCACUUCACCAAUAAUCUACACUUGUCAUUUUCCUCCCCCUCUCAUUUUUCUUGGUAUAUAUAAAAAAAAACAAGAAAAAUAUAAACAUGCGGAAAAAUAAAACUUUCCUUUUGCCUUUUCAUCCAUCUGAACGAGUUACCUGAUACAUGUGCUAGACGUCGGAUCCUGAUAGGUAACAUGUAUCGUAUCUGACACAAUGACUGAAAUGCGUCAGUACAAGCUGACUCGAAUACCAUCUUCAAUAUCACUCAAUCUUGAGAAUGGUCAUUAGAGGAGUCUAAAUCUUUUGAUUGAAUCCCAUAAUAACUCACAUACCACUUGACAAAUUUCCUUAAUCCACUUGACAAAUCUGUGGUUGGCUUAUACCCAAAAUCCUUUUUAGCCAAUGUAAUAUUAGCAUGUGUAAAUGGUACAUCACCAUUUCUUGGCAUUUUAAUUACAUUUUUUUUAGCCUUAACAUUUAAUAAAUUCUCCAAAAUUGUCACCAAUUUGUUUACUGAUACUGGUGAAGUGUUACCUAAAUUGUACACCCUUAAUUGGGCCGGACCCUUCUUCUUGCCACCACUCCCGGUGCUCUUCUCCGCCGUGUCUAACGACCCGAUACACCCUUUAACGAUGUCAUCGAUAUACGUGAAGUCACGUGCCACCUCUUUAUCAUCUUGUGUAACGUAAACAUUUAUUGGUUUACCUUGUACCAUGUCCUUAGUAAAAAAAAAAUAGGCCAUGUCUGGUCUACCCCACGGUCCGUAAACAGUAAAAAACCUUAAUGCGGUUAAAGAAAGACCGUAAAUAUGAUUAUACGUAUGUGCAAUUUCUUCACCGGCUUUUUUCGUUGCAGCAUAAAGGCUAGCCGGUUGAUCCGUACGAUGACUUUCGGAAAAUGGUACAUUUGUGUUCAACCCGUAAACCGAACUGGACGAUGCCCAGACAAUCGCGGGUUGAGGGUUAGCUAACUUGACCGUCUCUAAUAAGUUGACAAACCCUGCAAUGUUCGAUUGGAUGUACGAUAGUGGAUUUUUCAUCGCGUACCGCACCCCCGCCUGCGCGGCUAGAUGUAGUACAUGUGUGAAUGGAACAAUGUCGAACAGUUUGGAUAACAACUCGGCAUCGUUUAUAUCACCUUCCACUAUGAAGACUUCGUGUUGCGCCAAUAACUUUUGGCGCCCACGUUUCAAUGAAGGGUCAUAAUAGGAAUUAAAAUUGUCUAUUCCCAAGACACCGUCCCCACGUUUCUUUAAUGCCAUUGAGCAAUGAGAACCAACAAAACCAGCCGCACCUGAAUUAGAAGCGAAUUCAGAAUUUAAUUUUUUUAUAACUCUGACUUUUAUACAAACAUAAUAAUUACACUAACUUUUACGAUAUUUAUGUGUACAUGCAUUGGAUUUAAAUUAAAUUAAAUAAAAUCGCGUAAAUUAUAUAAUCGUACUAACCUGUAACCAAUACGGAUAAACCAUUGACACGUCGAGGAGUGGAGGAGUGGCGGACUUGUUUCUCCCAAGCGGCGCCACCACCGUAGAAGGAGGAGGAGAGGAGGUUAUGGGUGGUGGUGUGAAUAUUAUGAUGAUGUGGAUUACUAUUUUCCGAUGAGGUAAAAGGAGGGUAAUUUAUGAUGAAAAAAAAGAUUAAUAUUAGAGCUACUAAAAGUGUAACUCUAAAAAGAAGUUUAGAAGAAGCAACAAUUAAUUUUGUGCUAUUUAAUCUUCUAAUGUAGCUAUUAUAUCUCUCUAAUUUCAUUUCUUUGCUUGUAUCAAUAGGAGAUGAUGCCAUUGAUCAUAGAAAAAUGACCAAAUAUUUUUUGAAAAUAGGUAGAAAGAGAUUUAUUUGGGAAUAUUGUGUUUGUUGAGGAAUUGGGAAUGUGAAGAUGAGAGGAUUAUAAAGGAAAAAAUAAGUGGUGGACCUAAAGAAGAGGGGCAAGAGAAAAUUAUGGGAUUGUGUUUGUUGGAUAUAUUGCAAUAUAUUCUUUUUUUUUAGUAGUUUAUUAAUAGUUUAAAUUAAGUAUAUACUAUAAAUAACAUUAACAAUAAUUGUAGUAAUAAUAAUAUAUAACGCGUAAAUUUACAAAUGUUUGUAUUAGGAUAGAUUAUCUAUGGCUACGUAAUAUUUUUUGGGUGCCGCCCUUUCCUGAUCCUGUUAAAGCGGAAUGUUUUAUUCACUAUACUGCCAAGUCUAAUCUGUCUUCUCAGAAUUGAUGUCAUAAUGAAUUCUUUUCAUUUUCUUCAUAGGCGGUGCCUUAUUUCCCUAUUUGAUAUUUGGACGUAAGCUAUACUCUGCGAUGAGUCUAACAGACGUAUUGCCUUGCUUUGUCAUUUAAUCUCUUUUUCGGUGUGACUAGAAAUGCUCAGUAACAAUCUCUCAAUUAUCAUAGUUGAGGCUCUCUUGGUACUAGGUUUAAUUAUUUAUUUAUUUUUUAUUAUUAUGAAUGGGUCAACGUUGAUUAAUGUUUGUUUUUUUCUUUUGUUUUUUUGGAAGUGUAUGGCCAUUUGUCACCGACAGAAUAUUUUGCGUACGUACAGUUAAUAUAAUGGGAUUGCAGUCUUAUUGUUUAGAUCUUAGUUUAGUUCACAUAAUCUCAGAAAAAAAAUUAAUACUGGAAUAAAUUAUUCCGUAAUUUAUUUUAAUCAAUCAUGCAAUAGCUAAAAACAUAUAUUACUGAAUUUGUUAUACAUAUUACUGAGUCAAGUAUCUAAGUUAUUGAAUUUUAUUGAAUUCGUAAAUAAAAUUCUAGUUACGAUAUUUCAUGUACCACAUGAAAGAAAACAGAUAAGCUCUAGAGUUUUCUUAAAUGUAGAAAUGACAGGUCUUAAAUUUGUGUCUUUUUUUGAAGGGUACCCAUGAGGGGACACCCUUAUCUAGGUUUAGCACAUGUAAUAGGAAACUUCCUACAUCUUUCUUAUUAAUUGGGCCAAUGAUACCGACGUGAGUUGUGGUGCUGUGGUGAGACUGAUUCAUCCUUAAUUAAAGAGUUCGAGUUCGAGUUCGAGUUCAAGUUCGAGUCAUAGAUAUGAAAAAAAUCAUAUUGAGAGCGCCACAUCCGAAUGGCGAAUGGACCUUAUGAUAUGCAAUCUGCAUUUAGUCGGAAUUCUAAUACAGACUCCGAAUAUCGAGCGAAAAACCAAAAAUAAAUAAAUUGGGCAAAUGGUCUCUAUUUCUUCUUUUCACAACAAUAAAUAGUGAACAUGCAUGUUGAUAUUGACUUUUUAAGGAUUUAUCCUUUGAAUUUUUUUAAUUUUUUAUCUGUGUGGGUGACAAUGUACCCUACUAUAUUGAGAAUUGAAAGGCACCCUUGUUCUUUAAUGUGCAAGUGGGUACUAAUGCGUGUCAAGACUCUAAACCACAUUCUCACUUGAGGAUAUGACUUUCAGGAGAGUCUAAAUUUUAUAUUUUUUAAAUGAAAUUUAUUAUAAUAUUUACGAUAUUUUAGUUUAAAAUUAGUAAUUGAAAACAACUAAAUCUUAAAUUUAAACUUCAAAAUAAUAAUUCUGAAGUCCGACCUCUGCUAAUAAUCAAUGAAGUUGAGUGAAGAAACAUGGAGGUUGAACAAGUUCUUAUAACUCCAUCAAAGUUGAAAAGCACUAGGUAAUAUUUUUCUUCCUUUCAAAGUUUGGUGGAUAGAUUAAAUUACGCGAUAUGUGUACUGAUGAAAAAUAUAGAAGAUACAUUAUUUAGUAACUUCGAUAAAUUAUGGCUUCCUCAACUAGAAAGCUCCCAAGGCCAAUGAACGGCUUUCGAUCGACUUUUUCAUUAAUUCAAUUUGGCGUGGUCAUGUUGUAUUAAAAUAAUUUUCAAACUUGAUGAUUAAUUUACUUGCUUCUUCUAAAAAUACGCUUUGGAUAAUCCUAUAUACAUCCUCGAAGCACUUUUAUAUUUUCAACUGUCAGAGGGUAAAUAAAGAUGUUGUCCCUCUUUUCUCGAGGUUCGUCCAUUCUUCCUCUUGAAGUCUAACUAAAGUCGAAUUUAAAUCGAAAAAUUCCGAAGAGUAAAGAGUGAAACUAGAAUUAUCACACAAAUUUGUCGGUAGAGACUAAUCCAAAAGGGAACUUUCAUUGCAUAUUGUUAUUGUAAUUUCAAGUACUUUUGGGGCUUAAGUGUCAUUUAACUAAACUUUAGCUCCUUGACCGACAUGUUUAUAAAUGUAGACAGAUACAGUCCUCCUAAUUUUAUUUUUGUCCUCUUUUGGUCCCAAUGUCAACUUUGUUCAUUAAUUUUGUGGUCCUUUUAAUUUUAAUUUUUAUCAAUAAUAGCACUCAAAUUGGAUUAAUUAAUUAAAUCCUUUUUAUGUCAUCACAUUGUUGAAACAUUAAUUUAAUCAUUUGAUGUUAUAUUACAUUGCUGGUAUAUUAGUUUAUCAAUAUAUAGUUUGAUUCAUUUAUAUUGAUCCAUGUGAAAUCUUGACUUCCUGUAGUACGUACUUCUAAUUUGAUACUUUAUACAAAAUUGAGUGGACCUUUGUGAUAUUAAUGAAACUUUAGGUUUCAAAGUGUAAUAUUAUAUUUCAAGAAUUAUAGUGAGAAAUAGACCAAUGACAUAUACAUAAUUGAAAGAACAAUGAUUGAAAUGGUCAUAUUGUUGACUAUUGGGAACAAUUUGUUGAAAUUUUAGGACUCAAUUAUUAGUUUGUUAAGAUAUUUUUCUAUUACUUUAAUUUCCUUCAUAUGUCAUGACAAAAGUUGUUGACUUUGGUAUGAUCGGAUCAAUUUGAAUGCAUCUUGAUGAUGAAUUUAUUGAGAUAAACUAUAUUAAUGAUUCUAUUGGAUAAAAUCUAAGCAAAUAAAAAGAAUUCACUAUUUAAUUUAUUAUUACCUUUAUUGUAAUUUGAACUCAGUCUGGUACGAUUCAUUCCAACUUCAUUAAUUGGUAACCAUCAUAGGUGAAGUUAAAGGACCGCAAUCUAAACUCCUUUUGUUAGAAAAUAAUAAUAUACAUAUACGAUCAACCAUAUCUUUUAUGUAUAUAUAAUUACUAUUGAAGUUGUUUGAAUUCUUUGUAAUUUACUUUUCUUUAUAUUUUGAAUAUUUUAAUUAAAAAUUUGAUUCCGCAACCAUCGAUAUUAUAUGUAAUGUAAUGUUUCUCUUUGUAUAUAUACAAAGUAACACUCCAUGUUCUUUUUGCAUCAUUUUCAUUAACAUCUACAUGUGAGAAAUUCAAAAGCUCAUGAUUAGAGAGAAAACAAUAAUUAAAAGUAAACAUUUUGAGUAUGAUUGUGAUGAAGAAAAUUGUAACUAUAAUAAGGAGCUUCAAGAGGCAAGUGUAUCUAAUAUCUCUUGAAAAAUCUUAUAUCGAAAUCGUUUGACUUAACUCUAUUCAAAUAUUGUUGAAAGAUCGAGCAACAUCAUUUUAAAUUUCACCUGAAUUGAUCAAAUUAUAUGUUUCUUUUUACUUUUUCGUGAAGGAUUAGAUUCAGUACUAAGGAAAAACCCUUGAAAACUCACUUGAUAACUUAUGUUAUUUUUCAUGUAUUUUUGGAUCCUUUGGCUAUCGACGAUAUAUAUAUUUGACAAUAGUUACAAAUUACCAUAUGCAACAUUUGCUUCAUUAGUUCCAACGGUGGUAGCUGCGAAAUCUAUUAUUGAGUUAAGUAUUUUCAUUAUUACUUUCUGAGUCCGAGGAACUAUUGUUGUAAUAUCUAUUAAUAUCAUUUUUUUAAAUUUAAUUUAAUCUAAGUAUAUUUGUUAAUUCUCCUACUGUUAUAUAUAUCAAAUAAUUUCCACUCAUUUUUUAGAAAAGAAGUUUGUUAUGGUAGUGAGUAGUGACCAUAGAAACUAAAGGCCCACGGCACAUGCUAAGGCUUUCAUAAGUCAAAUUUCAAUUGCUAUCAACGAAACUCGUUUGGUUCGUGGAUAAAAUUAUAUCUAAAUUACAAUAUUGAAAUAUAAUUUCAGAAUUAAUUUAUUUCAUCUGAAAGGUGAAAUACAAUAAUAUUAAAGUUGAAUGGAAUAAGAUGAGAUGUUUCAGAAUUAGGAUUGCGAUAAAAUUUAUAUUCAAUUUGUAGGAUCAACUUGUUUAACUAUAUGCUAGAUCACUAAGUGAUGAAAACGUGAAAACAAAGUUUGGUUUAGUACACCUUCAAUCAAACAUAAUAUAAUUUUAAUCUCCGAGUUAAAUCAUAAGAUAUCUAACCUUAUCUUGUACUUGCAUCGAAAUACAUGUGAUACUGGUUUUAUAAUCAUGCAUAAUAAAGAUGAACGAACUCAUGAUGUGGAAUAUCAAGUUAAGGAGGAACUGGCACGACUCAUGUUUGGUUGGUUAAAAUUUUUGAUUUUUUUUUCUUCAGGAAAACAAGUUUCUUAAGAAUUAGAAAAACGAGUUCAUGUUUGAAUAGUAGUAACCAAAGAGGGAGAGGCAAACUACAUACUUCUUUCAAGACAAGAUUCAAUCACUAACCUAAAAUUACAAAGUACAGAGUAACAAGGCAUGAUACUUAUUUUUUUUCUUCUCAGAAAAUGAAUUUCAACAACCAAACAAGAUGAACAAAAACUAAAAAAAAGGCAUGAGUAGACGUAGCGCGAAGUGUGAGUUUAGUCCUUGUACUUCAUUUCAGACAUUUUGAAUCCAGGCAUGUCGAAAGAGGAGGCAAAUUUCUCGACAUCUACUUUGAGUUCUUCGAUUUCCUUGUUAUUAACAAGUCCCUUGUUGAAGUCCUUCAAAAGCUUUCCAUGUUCUUUCUGGAUGUUCAAGGUGAUUGUCACAGCCCUAUGAAGGAACUCACCAAUCUGUUCAAAGUCCUUCUCAAGCAAACCCCUCGAUGUCAUGGCGGGAGUACCUACAUAAAGAAACCCCGUUAGUCACUAUCCUACUAUGGAUAUAGUCUCGAAGGAGAACCUUGGAGCAACAGUAAGAGUUGUGAUGUGAUCAGGAGGAGGUCAUGGACGAUUUUGAGAAUGAAGCCUUACUGAUCUAUUGCUUAAUAGUAACAACCAACAAAAAAGAUGAGCUCUUACCGAUACGAACACCUCCAGGGGCCAAAGCACUGCUGUCACCAAAUACAGCAUUCUUGUUAACAGUAAUGUUGGCAAGGUCACAAAGCUUCUCCACCUUGUUACCUGAAAAAAUGUCAAAACAGAUACAUUUAUGUCAUUCACUAGUAAUGCUUAGAGUACUCGAGACUCCAAAAGAGCGAGUGUACUUUGAUCUUCUUACCAGUCAAACCGAGAGGACGAAGAUCCCAAAGAACAAGAUGGUUCUCAGUUCCGCUAGUGACAAGCUUGUAUUCUUUACUCAUCAAAAACUUGCCAAGAGCAACAGCAUUGGCCUUAACUUGCUUAGCAUAGGCCUUAAAACCGGGAGUCAUGGACUGUUUCAGAGCGACAGCUAAAGCACCGAUUUGGUGGUUGUGAGGACCACCCUGGAGAGAGGGGAAAACCGAAAAAUUAAUCUUGUCUUCAAAGUCGUAUACUGCAUCCUCAGGCUGGCCCUUCUUAGGUGGCUUAGGACCCUUGCGGUAGAAGAUCAUACCUGCUCGUGGACCUCUUAAGCUCUUGUGGGUAGUGGUAGUGACCAAAUCACAGUAUUCAAAGGGAUUUGCUGCUUCCUGUAUCCACAAACAAUGAGUUUCAACACACUCUAACAAAAACACAGUCCCGGAAUUCCAAAUUCACAACUCAAAACGCGGUGUAUAUAACAAAUGCAAAUCAUUAUAAAUCAGAUUCUAGUAUAUACUACUUAUGUGAAGACAACUGACGUUGUAAUUCACCGUUAAGCUUCAUGAUAAUCAUGCGAAACAAAGCAUUGAUAGAACCACAAACUCAGCUAAUAACCAAUUUCAACACUAACUCAUGUAUCACAAAGCAUAAAAACCAGAUCACCAAGACAUCCAAAUUGUGCAAAUUUGGUCAACCAAAUCCAUAUCAUCAUGAUCUAAUAUUUCGAAAAAUUACUAUUCCCAAUGUUUCAAUUUGUUUGUCUUACAAAAAGAAUGUUUCUUAUACGUAUGUUUAGUUUAAUACCACGAGAUUCAAAAGUCUUCAUUAGACUCUUAAACUACGUGUCAAGUCAAAAUUAGAAAUACAAAUUGAAACAUUAAAAAGAACUAGCAUGGAAACAAAAAAGGGGGUGUGUCUAGAUCACAAUGCAGCAAAAAUUAGCAUGGAAACAAAACUAGCUAGGAUCGACUAUAUGAAUCAAAAUGGCUACAUAUCUUUAGUUCAAAACCACCAGAUUCAAAAGCUUCGUUAAUUUCUUAAACUACGUGUCAAGUAAAAAUCAGACAAACAAACUGAAACAUUAAAAAUAACUAGCAUGGAAACAAAAAAGGGGUGUGUCUUGAUCACAAUGCAACAAAAAUUGGCAUGGAAACAAAACUAGCCGGGAUCGACUAGAUGAAUCAAAAUGACUACAUAUCUUUAGUUCAAGACCACGAAAUUCAAAAGCUUUGUUAAUUUCUUAAACUACGUGCCAAGUCAGAACAAGACAAACAAACUAAAACAUUUGAUCAUAAAUUGCAUGGAAACAAAAAUGGGGUGUGCCUAGAUCACAAUGCAACAAAAAAUAGCAUGGAAACAAAACUAGUUGGGAUCGACUAAACGAAUCAAAAUGACAGCCAAAUCUACCUCUAAACCAAUUCAGAAUCAAAAUAUGACAUAAAAAUACAAUCUUUAAAGCACUCAACGUAUUGCCUAGUGGCCAAUGAAGUGGUCGAGAGCAUGCAUGAGACCCUCAUGUACAAUUAACACUAGGCGAUUCUUCCCAUUAGUCGAAAUACCGCCAAAGCUGACCCCAACACCACGAUCAUAAACAAAAAAAACUACAAUCUUUAAAACAGAAAUCCAUCAAAAAGUUAUACCUGAGCAGCAACAAGUCCACUAAUAUGAGCCAUAUCACAAAGCAAAAGAGCUCCACAUUUAUCAGCAACUUCUCUAAAUCUCUUAUAAUCCCAAUCUCUAGGAUAAGCACUCCCUCCACAAAUAAGCAAUUUAGGUCUAAAAUCCAUUGCUUUCUCUUCCAAUCUAUCAUAAUCAAUAUAUCCAGUUGUAAAAUCCAGCUUAUAAGGCAAACUCUCAAAGUAAAUCGAAGUAGCAGAAACCUUUUUCCCACCAGAUGUAUAAUACCCAUGUGUUAAAUGCCCUCCUGACGGCAAAUCUAAACCCAUAAUCCUAUCAUGGGGGUUUAAAACUGCUGUAUACGCAGCGAAAUUAGCUGGGCUACCUGAAUAUGGCUGAACAUUAACACCCCAUUUCGUUGGAUCUAAGUGAAAUGCUUGUAAUGCUCGACUUCUAGUGAGAUUUUCGAUUUGGUCAAUGUAUUCGUUUCCACCGUAAUAACGGUUUCCCGGUAUACCCUCUGAGUAUUUGUUGGUUAAGGCACUGCCUAGAGCUUCAAUUACGGCGAAUGAAGUGAAGUUUUCUGAUGCAAUGAGUUCGAUACCGCGACAUUGACGACGUUUUUCUUUUUCUAUGAGGUCGAAGAUUUCUGGGUCUGUUGUGUUAAGGGGUUCAUUGCCCCAUACUGAAACUGGAUCCAUUUUUGACGAAAAUUUGAGGAAUUUUGAAGAGGAAAAAACAGAGGAAAACAGAGUGAGAGAGGGUGAAAAACAGGGGAAGUGAAGAAAUGGAGGGGGAGUUUUUAAAGAGAUGAGUUUAUGUGAAUUGACAAUAAUACCCUUUUGUUUUUUUUUAAAAAAAUUUUAAAAAAAUAUAUUCUUAUUUUUUUUGGAAAAAAAUAAUUAAAAGUUUGUUGAGGAUGUUUGGUAAAGCUAAUUUUUGGGGAGUUGGUGAAAUUUGAGGGUUAGGAAGUGAUAUGUAUUUUGGUGGUUGAAAUUUAUUGUUUGUAUUUGAUAAUUUAAGUGAAUUUAUGUUAAAGUUAAGUAGGCUAAAUAUAACUCCUUAAAUUUGGUAUAAUUUAUAAGUUAGAUAUUCUAACUUAGCUAGUGAGUAGAUAGAUAUCGGUUGAGUUUAAUAUUUGGAUUGAAUAUAUAUAAAGAGAAAAUUUAAGUUGUGAUAUCUCUCUUACAUUGAUAAUACCGAAACAAUUGGUAGUUGGCUAAUGUUGCGUAUCUUGGUUUAGUCUAAUUUUGAAAUCGUUACAAAAUUGUUAAUAUAUCGAAUAUCAUGUAAUAAGUUAUUGAUCGCUAACAAGUUGGUUAUUGAUUUAAUCAUUAGUUACGGGAAAAAAAAUUCAAAACUAAGCUUCAGAAAGUUACCAACAAGCAUAAACUAUACUCCCUUGUUCGAUUUUACUUGUUACAUUUCAUUUUUCAAGAACAAACUGCAUGAGUUUUGAUCAACGUUAAAACGAAAAUUUUCAUCCUAUCAAUAUGAAAAUGAUUGCAACUUGUAUAAUUUUUCGAUUCAAAUUAUCGAUUUUACUCUAAAUAUGCACACCCCUAAAUGUUGUCAUGAAUUCAUAAUGCACAACAUGCCAUUUUCAAAGUUAGUAAGAAUUCAACUCCUUCUGAGUGCAAAAUUGUCUUUGUUAAGGACCGUUUUACUUUUCAAUGUGAUACUUUUUAACACGAAUUUAAAUUUAAUCAGACUCUCAUAUAAAUACCGAAUACUAAAUAGGAAAAAAAAAGUUGGUAAGAAUUUAGUAGGUUGAUCUAAGUGUUAAUUAUGACCCCACUUGGGACUAGGGAAUAGUUGGUGUAUGCCUUGUUGAGCACGAUGGUCAUUUUUAAAUCUAACUUACCAACCAAAGUCUACCACAAACACACCUUAUAGUAAGCGGAAUCAGAAUAUAAGGUUAAUAUAUUUAAAAUUUUACGAUAACCAUAACAUAUUUAAUAUAGUUCACAAGUGGAGUCUACAAAUAGUGUUAUCCUAUGAAAGCAAAAAAUUAUUUUUAAUAGACCCUCAACUCGAAUAAACAGGAUUCACAAUUUGAAUCCUAUAAACAAUAUUAGUUUCUAAUUAAUAAUUUAUUCAUAUUUAAGUGAACAAAAUAUUGGAUUGUUUGUUUUAUCUAAUCGUAAUGUGAGUAAAAAAUAACAAAAACAAAAAAGGGAUAACAAAAACACUUUUUGGACCUCCUUUCAAGAGAACAUAGGAAAAUGUUAGAUUGUAUAUUUUGUCCUUUUGGAAAAAGUAGCAAUAGAAUAUUGGACCAAAAAUUGUUGUUAUUAGCUUUACUAUAAUUAGUUAGAAUAGAACCAUGAUGAAUCCAUGAUGUCAACAUGUCUCUUUUUGACUUGGUGAGAUCUUGUUAACUAGGGUAGUUGGGUUUUGUGCCUUUGCAUGGAGCAAAACAAUUUACUCAGAUAUUUAUAAUUUUUUAAAAAUAAUCUAUCUACUUUUCAUGAGAUAUUGAUGAAAUCUGCUUAUAUCAUUAUCCUCAAACUUCACUUAGUGAAAUUUUACUAAAUAUAUUAUUGUUAUUAUUUCAAGACUGUGUUCACUCAAUGUAUAUAUCAAAUAUUACAUUGUGUUGUAUGUGAGUGGUGCAAACAAAAACCUAAUAUUUGAAUAGAGAAUGAUAAAUAAAUAAAAAGACAGUUAUAUCACAAUAGUUUUGAAUCGUGCAAAAAAAAAUCUCGAAACUAUACCAAAUUUCAAUAUUUUAUCAUAAGUAAAGUAUAUUUGCUCUAUUAAAAAGUAUUAAAGUAUAAUAAAUUUUUAUUUAUACUCUAUAUUUAUAUCAAACGUUACAAUAUAUAUGUGGUAUUUUUUUUGUACAUAGACCAUAGUUAAUUUCAUUUAAUAUUUAGUUAUAAUAAAUUAAUUUAAUAUAUUUGAUGACAUAUUAGUGUAAUUUUAUAAGUAGGUAUGUAUUGGGGAAUGAAAAUCGUAUGGCCACGUAUUUAGAGCAUAACAACUAACAACAACCAAAACAUAUAUUUUUGUAUAUAUUCUAUGUGUUGUCAUGCACGAGUUCAUCACUAACUUCCCAUUCGAUUAAAUCUGAAUUUUUAUCAAUUUUUUUUAUAUAAAAGGUAAAAUAUUUUAUAACGAAGACGAUUUCAUAUUAUCUUUAUUCUUCUGUUGAAGAUAAAAUGUUUCAUAACAAAGACAAUCUCAUAUUAUUUGUUACAUUCUUAUGAAGUUAUAUAUUUUCUAUACAUAUAUAAGACAAUGUUGUUGAUCAAUGUCAAUUUCAUCUACCUAAUCAAUGUUUGGUUAAAAGAUUAAAAAAAUAUAGCAUUUGACUUUGAAUUCCUUUCUUGGUUGGUGAAGGUCUAUAGGACUACUAGUUCAUUACAAAAAUACUCCCAUUUUUCAAUAUUUAAUUUGUUCUCAUAACAAAGAUCAAGAUUCAAGAAAUAUGGUGAGAUGAAUAAUAUUUAAGUAUCUUGAGUUAAAAUUUAAAAAAUAAAAUAUUCUGAUAUAAAUUACUUUUCUCUUAGCAGAUGUUAUAUAACAUGAAUUCAAAUUAAUAAAUUUAGCAAUUAUCCAAAAUCGUCUAGCUAUAAAAAUAAAUAAAUAAAUAAAUAUUGUUGUAAAUGCAUGAAACUGUGAACGUGAAGUUAAGUAGUUAACAUCUAGUACAAUCUUAUUCUACCCACCAACUCUUCCAAAAAAAAGUUUUUUAAAUAAAAAAAAUAUAAUCUUGUCCUCCACGAAAUAUUGGUGAUGAAUAUAUUAUGUGCAAAUAUAUGAAAGUGAUUGGUUAAAAAAAAUCAAAAGUUUCAAAUAUGCAGUGGAGUCAUAAUUUUCAUUAAGGGUGUCAGAAGUAUAAAUAAUAAAACACACAAAAAGGUCAAAGAAGGUUCAACAUCUACUAUAUAUACAUAAAAAUUAUUUCAAUCAUGUAUAAACUAUGUAAUUUUCCAUCGAAAGCGGUUCAGAUGAACCUUUCGACCCUAACUAACUCCGCCAUUGUCAACCAUAAAAAACUACUCUUUAUGCACUAUUUUUCCAUUGUCCAAUCAGGGACCAACUUUGUACCUAACUAAUUAUGUUAAUUUGACCAAAAUAAAUUAAUUUAGGGGGAUUGGUUGGAAGUAUCAUCAAUUGUGUGGAAAAAAUAACCUAAAAACUUAAAGUUAGAGUAAAGUAAUCCAUAAUCUUUUAUAAUUUUCGAUGAUAAUGUACUCUACACGAAUAUAAACUGAUCAAUAUUUAAAAUUUAUGAAUUCUUACGACAAAAUACAAGUUAUUAUUAGUAAUAUAUAAUAGUCUUUGAGUUUAUAGUCUAAUAUAUAUACUUCAUAGUACACAAUCCUCUCGUAAACAAAUAAGUAUGGUUAGUUAUGAAUACUCUAUCAUUCUUAAUUAAAUGUUUCGAAUUUAAGUUUUAAAUAUGAUCGCAUGGAAUUGUUUAUGUUAGAAAGCACUCAAUCUCUAACGUUAAACUUUUCGACGUGAAUGAAAAUUUAAUUAGUCAGGAGGCAAUCAUGCUUUCUAUAGUAUUUUGCUAUGAUUUCUUCACUAUCGUUAUUUUUUUUCUAUUCUGCUUUGAUAUAUUUUUUCUUGAGUCAAAGGUCUAUCGAAGCAACUUAUCUACCUACUAAAGUAAGGUAAGGUAUGCUUAUACUCCAUCUUUUUCCAACUCCACUCGUAGAAUUACACUAUGAGUAUGUUGUUAGAUCUUAGUAUGACUAUCAAAUACCGAAUGAGAAACAAAACAUGAAAAAAGGUUUGUUUGUUUGUUUUUUUCCAACAAAACUCUAAUUAUUCUCCAUUAUUUAUGGUUUACCUUACCAAUUACCAAUAUAAAAAAAAAAUUUGCAAAUAAUUCCUACCAUUCAUUUUUACCAAAAAUCCCACAAUUUAGCAAUCUAAAAAUAUGAUCAAACAAAUCCUAGCCGUCCAUUUUCCAUUCUUCAUCUCUAUAUAAAUCACUCAAACUCCAUUUCAUUCCUCUGUCCCACUCUUCUUCUUCUUCCCAAAAAACUUCAAAAUUCUCUCAAUUUUUCACAUUUUCCACUUUACUCUCUCUACCCAUGGCGUUAAUCGUCGAGAAAACCACCUCGGGCCGCGAGUACAAGGUCAAGGACAUGUCCCAGGCCGAUUUCGGCCGCCUCGAAAUCGAGCUAGCCGAAGUCGAAAUGCCUGGAUUAAUGGCUUGUCGUACUGAAUUCGGUCCAUCACAGCCAUUCAAAGGUGCAAAAAUCACCGGAAGUUUACACAUGACGAUCCAAACCGCUGUCCUAAUCGAAACUCUCACUGCAUUGGGUGCUGAAGUUCGAUGGUGUUCCUGCAACAUUUUCUCAACGCAAGAUCACGCGGCUGCUGCGACAGCGCGUGACAGCGCCGCCGUUUUCGCGUGGAAAGGGGAAACAUUGCAGGAGUAUUGGUGGUGUACGGAGAGGGCACUUGAUUGGGGUCCAGGUGGUGGACCCGAUCUGAUUGUUGAUGAUGGUGGUGAUGCUACAUUGUUGAUUCAUGAAGGUGUUAAAGCUGAAGAGGAAUACGCGAAAACUGGUAAAUUUCCAGAUCCUCAUUCUACUGAUAAUGUUGAAUUUCAGCUUGUGCUUACUAUUAUUAAGGAUGGGUUGAAAAGCGAUCCGUUAAAGUAUACGAAGAUGAAGGAGAGACUUGUUGGUGUUUCGGAAGAAACUACUACUGGUGUUAAGAGAUUGUAUCAGAUGCAGGCUAAUGGAACUUUGCUUUUCCCUGCUAUUAAUGUUAAUGACUCUGUCACCAAGAGCAAGGUAUCUUUUUGUGCUCCGAUUAUUGCAUUAUUUCGUUAUCGUUACUGUUUGUGUAAUGCUCUCUGUUUCACAUUAUUUCGUCGUUGUCCACCUCUUUCAAAUUGUUUACUUAUGCUGAGGGUCUAUUGGUAACAACCUCCCCAUCGAGGUAGAUCACAUACACCCUUUUGUCUCGGAAAUUUACAUUGUGUAGCUAGGUAAUAGUAUAUAUUACAUAUUGACACUGUUGACUUGUACGCGAUUUUACUUUUUUAUAUUUUGACAUCGAAAUUCUAGCUCCGUUCGUUGAGUCUACCCUACUAGACCUCACUCGUGGGAUUAUACUUAGCAUGUUGUUGUUGACUUUUCUUUGUUGAGGUUCAACAUUAAAUCUAUAGUUAUUGUUGAAUUUGAGUCUUGAUCUAUAGGUUCAUGUUUAGUUGUAUCUUUAACUCAUUUGAUAUGUGGGAGAAAUAAACAUUCAUCAUUUUCUUGAGGUAAAUUUGAUAUUCCUCUUAUUUUAUAGCUUAAAGUGAACAUUUUUCCAAUCAUAGAAUUCUAAUUUUCUGUUAUAGUUUUGAAUUAUCACAUCAAGCUAAUUGACUUGAUGAAUUUUUUUGUCUUGGUGUGUACUCAAGUUUGACAACUUGUAUGGAUGUCGCCACUCACUGCCCGAUGGACUCAUGAGGGCUACUGAUGUUAUGAUUGCUGGGAAGGUUGCCCUUAUUGCCGGUUAUGGUGAUGUUGGCAAGGGUUGUGCUGCUGCAAUGAAGCAAGCAGGUGCGCGUGUGAUUGUGACUGAGAUUGACCCAAUCUGUGCUCUCCAGGCUACUAUGGAAGGUCUCCAGGUUCUUCCUCUCGAGGAUGUUGUUUCCGAAAUUGAUAUCUUUGUUACCACAACUGGUAACAAGGAUAUCAUCAUGGUUGACCACAUGAGGAAGAUGAAGAACAAUGCCAUUGUCUGCAACAUUGGCCACUUUGACAAUGAAAUCGACAUGCUUGGUCUUGAGACCUACCCUGGAGUGAAGAGAAUCACAAUCAAGCCUCAAACUGACAGAUGGGUCUUCCCCGACACCAAGAGUGGCAUCAUUGUCUUAGCUGAGGGUCGUCUCAUGAACUUGGGAUGCGCUACUGGACACCCCAGUUUUGUCAUGUCGUGCUCUUUCACUAACCAAGUCAUUGCUCAGCUUGAGUUGUGGAAGGAGAAGGCAAGUGGCAAGUAUGAGAAGAAGGUGUACGUCUUGCCAAAGCACCUCGAUGAGAAGGUUGCUGCCCUUCAUCUCGGACAGCUCGGAGUCAAGCUCACUAAGCUCUCCAAGGACCAAGCUGAUUACAUUAGUGUACCAGUUGAGGGUCCUUACAAGCCUGCUCACUACAGGUACUAAGGAGAAAGACAAAGUGAGACUGGAAAAACACACAAUCUUAUAGCAUGAUGUUUUCUCUUUUUAUGCUUUGAUUCUGUUUUCCUUUGGUUUUUGUUUAUGUUUUUCUUUGAGGAUAUUGAAGUAACAUUUCUAGUUUUUAUCCAUUCAAAUUGUAGCGCUAGCGUUUGACUAUACAUUUUGAAAGUUCAUCCUCAAAUAUCUGUUAGGAUCUUCAACUAUUUUCAAGUGUGCUUUCAGGACUUCCACUUUCAAAACUUCAAAAAAAUUUCAAAUAAAAUGCAUGUCCAAGUAUAACUUCAAAUUCCAAAAAUCACAACGUCAAAGCCUCAAAUUUUCAAAUUUCAACUUCAAAAUUGGCCAAACGGGAGCUAAAAUCAAUUGCUCUGAGGUGUUAUACCAUGUGUUAUAGUGUUUGUACUUUGGUGGGUUAAAAUUGUUCUUACAUCAUCACUUCCUUUAAUUCUUAGUUUUGCAAAAGAUAAGUCAAAUCUUGUUUCUCUAGAAAAGAGAAAAUUAUACUAGCUUUCGAUGCUAAGCAAGUCGCGCUUUAUGCUAAGGACGUGGAUUGAUCAUUGACGAUUCUUGUAAAUGUAAUAGAAGAGUCAGAGUCGAGUUCCCCUCCCUUCUCGACUAAGGAUAACAAGAUAUUGGAAUAAAAGGGGAAAUUUACUUUAUAUCCACUUUCUUUACCCUUGGCUAAAAUAAAAGAAAAGAAAUAUUUUAAAUUUUCCUUUUACCUUAUCAUAUACUAUUAAUAGGUACCUUAUGAUAAAAUCUAGAUAUCAUGGAUGUGAAAAACAUUUUACAUUAAUUAGGUCUACUAGUUUCUUUUUCUACUUUCCACCAAUCCAAAUAGAGCUAUGUCAGUAUAGAUAUUAAUAAUUCCUCUACUAGUAUGCAUGCAUUUAUUCUGCUAAUUAAUGUAUAUGAAUAUAGUACUACUACUAUUAUAACUUUUCUGGAUAAAGUAAAAAAAAUGAAAUUAUUUCCUCUGUAGAUUCAAAAUUUACUGCAAAGAUUCCCCGCUGAAUUAUUCAUCGGAUAACUGUUACCUCCCACAAACACAUGUACCAGUAACUCUACCCGCCACGGUUUAGGGGGUGCAAGGAAAUCACCUAGUACGUUUUGUCUCCGCUGAGUUUCGAGAUAUAGUAACUAGUUGGUCCACUGAAUAAAGAACUAUUAUUUUGUGAGACAUAUCAGGAAAAAAGAAGAAGAUGAUCUACUUCUGUCUGUUGGUGUUAGUAUGAAUAGUUUAUGCUUCAAAUACUUUGUCUCUAUUUAAAAAUUAAACAAAAUAACUCCAACCAGAUGGGAAUAUAAAGUUAAAGAAAUCCAGUAUAAGGGUGGCAAGCGGGCAGGGCCGGGACAAGCCCAACCCACCCAGCCACUCCGGGCCAGUGUGCCGGGCUCCCUUAGGGGGCUGGGUUGAAUCAGAAGAGGACCUUUAUCUAACAUAUUGCAGCAAGUGCAUUGUAUAUUUCAACCUUUCCACAUUUCUGGUACAUCAAACAAGCAAAUCUUUACCAGAGUUUACACAAAUAAAGACGAUUCGUUCCAAGAAAAAGGAAUGUCUUCACAGCGCGUGGAUGUAACAAGAACUCCUUACAUAGCCGAGAAGACUAGAUGAGUUGAAGCAAUGAAGAAACUACACUUUCUAAAAAACCAUCUGUUUUAUGCAUGAUAACGACAACUGCAAAGCUUUCUUGACAUCUUUUAGCAAAGAUAGAUAGACAUUAGUUCUGUAUCAUCAAUACUGACAAUUGACAUAGAAAGUGGAAACUAGUAGAUAAUUCUGCAAAAAUGAAGGAUAUCAGCUUCCUAAUGGUUGAAGGUAAAGCUAAUGAACUGAAUAUUGCAGGAAACUACUCAAGCCUCAACUAAUUCUUUUAGGAUGAUCAUAAAGGUUUGUUAUUUUUCCAGUAGUGCAAAUCUUCUUAAUGUUUCUUUGAUCAGUCGUGCUGAUAAUACACCUACAGAAACCAGCAAAUGCCGCCACCCUCCCCAGCUCCAAAAGAUUAUAAUGAAAGAAGAGAAACCAUAUAUAGAAGAACCAUCCUCAUUGAAGGAUUAUUUCUUGUCAUUAUUGGACUACUACUGAUCUUUCCUAAGCACCAUGUUAAUCUCUUUUCUAGUAUUUUCUUCCUUAGUUUUCAUUCACACAGGUGCUUCGCUCUGCGCUCCCUGCACACCUCCCCUUUCUAAAAUGUUACUCAAGAAAGUCUUAUACGGCAUCCACUUCACGUCAUUUCCACAAAAUACGUACUCCAUAGACAAGCACCCAAACCAAUAGAGGAUACACAAUAGCCUUACCUUCUUGACUAUUAGCAUUCCCCAAAAUUCUACCCGUUGGCCUCUCAGUAUACAUCUAAAGUAUAUUAGAGACAAAUCACUUACUCGAAAAUUGACGCAUCAGAGACAUACGGACAUGGCAUUCUCCUAGACACAAUGCUAAACCUCUCUUUAUAUCAUAGCCUAAAAACAUUCAAACUGAUGUGGAAGUUUGUAAUGGAAGCUCAACAUCAUAAUAAUACAUAAAGAAUCAUCUUUUGUUUCUCAAAAGAGCGGUAGAAAAGAUAUAAGACUCUGCUCAACACAAAUUUGCACGUAACACACAACAGAAAUCAUCGUAUCGUUAACAAAUGGAAGUCAAUCUUGUGGAUCAAACGAAAUUACAAAGAAUACUAAAUGUGUGAAAGAUCAGAACUUGACUUUGCUUAAAGUUCCCCUGCUCGUAUGAUUAACAUCCAAAUAAAUUUGAGACCCUAAAUGCCUUACUGCUCCUUUUAGUAUCAUCCUCUAUACCAACAUUUCACUAUAACGGUAAAGUUCUUUCAAGAACCGAUUUUUCAUGCUAUGAACACAUUUCACUAUAGCAGCCAAAAAAUAUCCAGACAAAACAAUGCUUCAUAAUGCAUAGAAACAGAUUGGGAGCAUAAUAUACAUAGAACCAAAAAAAUAUAUUUAGCAACAUUGGUUACAUUAAUUUUUAUAUUAGUAUACAACAUUAGCAACAAAAAAACAACCACCCCCACAAGUCCCAAACAUAACUAAAUCAAUAUUCAAAAAAGCAGAAAUAGAACUUUUUUACCAAUUCCAUUGCAUAAAAUUUCUCAGCUAAAAAUUCAAGAUUUGAUGUCACUGACCUCCCUAGCACACCUUGUAAUAAUCUCACAUCCUCUGUUGUAAUUAUUAGCUGCACCAGGAGCUUUACAAUUAUAAUAUGAAGCACCAGGAGUAUUACAAGGCACCAAAUCCCUCUUCAAUGUACCAUAACUAAUGUACUUCUUUUGCAUAAGCAAAACCCUUCUAUUACUUUCAGAAUCCAUCAAAUCUUCUUCACCCACCAUUUCUGAGCAUUCUUGAAGCUUUUCUGAACAACCCCUUUUCCCCAUUAGGUUAAAGUUACUAUCUUUAACUGAUUUAAGGUCAAGAACUGAAACCCCAGAACAAAAUCUCAUCUGGGCAUGGCUGAAAAGAAGCAAGAAGAAGAGGGUCUUCAAUGGAUUGAAGUAAAGUUGGGAUUUUUGCAUUUUGUGAGUUUGAGGUUGAAUUUCUUGUAGCUUUUCUCCUGGUGUUGUCAUUUUUUUGUGAUUUUGGAUUUUGGGCUGUGAAAGUGAGAUUCCAGGGUGUGUGAAAUUUUGGAAAUUUUGGAACUAGUGAGGAGUCAUUAAUGGUGUAGGGAUCAUCCUAUUACAUACACCUACUUUGCUACUCAAUUGUCAUGGGAGGAUUGUGGGGGUGAGUAGUGAGAGUGACCCACCACCAUUCUUGAUUUUUUUUUUUUUGUUAUAGGUUUUCAUUUAGUGUGUGAUAUCGAUAUUGGAGUGUGAUUAAGUCGGAAAGUUAAUUUAUUGUUUAAUAAAGACAAUUUCAUAUUUGAAGCUCGAAUCUAAAAUCUCUAGUUAAGAGAAGAGAUAGUGGUCAAGACACACACGUGAAUUAUCACUUUUGAUCACAAGUUUCUCAGUUUAACUCUAAUCUCUUCUCUUUCCUAUCUGAACUAUCACCAGAUUGUUCCAUUUUCCUACUUGAACUAUCACCACCUAUGCAUUAACACACAUAUACAUGGUGAUCGCUCAAGUAAAUUAUUGUUUAAUAAUAAAUUGUAUAUCUAAAGCUGAAUUGAAAAUCUCUAGUUAAGAGUAGAGUGGAAAAACACACACCUAGAAUAUUAUUGUAUCGAGUUUCACACUCAAACUAGCCGUUGUUCUCUUUAUCUAUUUGAAUUAUCACCUGUUGUUUCAUUUUUCUAUCUGAACUAUGAUCACCUACGUAUUGAAACACACAUGAAUGAAUGGAUGGUGAUAGUUUAGAUAAGAAAAAGUAACAACUUAUAGUUGAAACGUGAAACUCAGGAAAAAACAAUAAUUCAAAUAUAUUUUUUAUCAUUAAAUCUUAAGAAUAAAAUACUUACGACUCUAUCACAACCGUGUUUGGCCAACAUGUAGAAACAAAAUUUUGCCACUAGCUUUUGCUUUAAGACAAGACUUUUGACUUUUGAAAUAUGAUAUACACAAAGUAAGUUGGAUCUAGGCUGGUCUCAAAAUCUCUGUGUUUAUAUCUUGGACUUGGGCUGGUUCCCAAUUCUUUAUGAAUAGUAUAUACUAGAAAAGGACAUAAAAGUUAUUUAUGUUUAAGGUUAGUUUAAACUAGUCCUUUUAAAUAUACAAUUAAGCUAUUUUAGUUCUUUAUAUUAUCAAAAUUGAACACUUUUGGUCAUUGUUUUAUUAGAAAAAACACAUGGUAGUACAUAUAUCUUUGAUGAAAUUGGCUCGUCGAAAGCACGUGAACAACAUACUCAGUGUGAUCUUACAAGUGAGUUUGGAGCCACAUGAGCUAUUUACAUGAAAUAAAAGUAGUGAAACUAAACGUCAACCAAUUCAUUCCUCAAUUGAACAUAUCGAUCAUAUACUUCCUUUUAACCCUCCAUUUGUAUGAGACAUCGAAUGAAUCAAUGCUAUACUCUGUUGAAAGUAAAGUUAAGAUGUAGUUUUCUUUAGUUUAAACAACUCACGUGCUUCUCAUGAGCUAAUUAUGUGACAUAUAUAUAACUAUGGUUGAGUUUUCGUAAAUAUAGCAAAGAAUAGAAGUACUUAAUUUCGAUAAAUAUAAAGGACUAAAACUGUUCGAAUUAGUGCAUUUUGAAGGACUAUUUUAGUCUCAAUUGUUAUCAAUUCAUUUUGCAUGGUGUGUGUAACUAUUGGUACACAAUCAAGUUCAUUAUUGGAAAAUCCAUUAAAUGGUUGGGGUGUGCUGUUUACAUAUGAUUAAUUUUUCAUGUGGGAAAAUUAGAGAAAAAAUUCAAUCACUAAUGAUUAUUCUGUUCAUUUUCAUCAAUGUCUAAUCGGAAACAACCUCUUUACUUUUUUUUUAAUGAAAGUAGGGAUAAUAAAUUUCAUAAGUGACAUCUAAAAUUCAUUGUUUUAUCGCCACUCACCUAACGUCCCCAAUAAUAUGUUUUUGGUUAUUUUUGGACUAUCAAAUUUGUGGUCCAAUAUUAAUUACCUUUUCAUUGAUAAGAUUAGUGGUCCAAAAACUUGAAUCUCAAGCAAAUUGAGAUUGCUAUUUUGGAUUUGAUGGUUAAAUGUCUAAUUAGGUUCUAUUAUUAAUUGUAUGUAUUUAUAUUGGUUGCAAUGAAAAAUGAGCAUGACCUUUUUUCCAUUUCAUGAGCAUAUAUCCUCUUAAAUGAAUUAAAAUUCUCUUUAAUUUGCCUAGUUAGGGAGUAACUGUGAGUCCGGAGUCUAAAAGGCAAAAAAUAUUGUCAAAAAUUCCAAAAGGGCACAUCACUUUUUAUCUAGCCAAAAGGGCAAAAUCGCUGCGUCAGCAGCGAUUUUCCUCUGACAAAAUGACGAAAUAGCAGCGAUUUCGUCUAAAAAAAAAAAUUAAUUAAAAAUCGCUGCCACAGUAGCGAUUUUGUAAAAAAAAAAAAAAAAUUAUUUUUUAUUUAAAAUCGCUGCUGUUUGUAAAAAAAAAUAAAAAUUUAAUUAAAAAUCGCUGCGAUUUUGUAAUUUUUUUUAAUUAAAGAUCGUUGCUUUUUCUUUAAAAAAAAACUAAAACGGCACAUCAAAAAAAAAAUUAACCAAAAGGGCUUCUGACAAAACAAAAACAAAAAUCGCUGCAUAUUUUUUAUGAUAUAUAAUUCAAUUUUCCUCAUGCUUCAACAAUUUUAUUGAGUAUACUGUCGUCUUGUUUAUCAUUUUUUAUAUUAUUAAUAAGUAAUAAUAGGCAUGAAAAUAAUAGCACUCGGCAUGAAAAACGCUGCCCCUGCAGCGAUGUGUAAGGAAAAAAAAAAUCUAGACUUAAAAUCGCUGCCACAACAAUUUUAUUUUUUUUACAAUGGCAGCGAUUUUUAAUAAUAAUAAUAAAAACAAAUUUAACAAAAUCGCUGCUGUGGCAGCGAUUUUUAAUAAAAAAUAUAUUUUAUUUUUUUUUACAAAAUCGCUGCCACAGCAGCGAUUUUUAAUUAAAAAAAAUUAAAAUUUUUUUUAGACGAAAUCGCUGCUAUUUCGUCAUUUUGCCCUUUUGGCUAGAAUAAAAAGUGAUGUGCCCUUUUGGAAUUUUUGACAAUUUUUUUUGCCCUUUAGGCUCCGGACUCGAGUAACUGUUUCACAAGAAGUAGUUGAUCCGAUAGUAAGCAUCUCUCACUUUUAACUCUACGGUUAUGAGUUCGAGUCUCUAAGACAGGAAAAUAAAUGGGAGCUCCUAGGGAGAUACGCUCUAGAGGUAGAGUGAUUGUUUCUAAAGAAUUUCUAUUGUAUUCUGCGACAUCCAAAUUGGAUAUAACUUUAGCUGUAAAAAGAAGUUUGUAAUAAAUCAUAAUUUUGGUAGGUUGCGAGUUAGCUUGAAACUUUAAAAUGGUAGGUCCCUUUAACAAAUGUCCGUUUUAUUGUUGUGAUCAUAUCUUUUUAGUAUCUUCAGUUUUAACGAUACCUUCUACAAACUCUUUUCUUAUUUAAAUUAACCUAACAACUUAAUAAAAUAUAAUAAUACCAAAAAUUUGAAAACCCAAAAGAGAAUAAUUUAAAAACUUUGGUUUCUUUUUUUUUUUUGUAUUUAUAGUUAUUUUUGGAUAUCAUAUUUGUGGUCCAACAUUUCCUUUUCUUUGAUGAGAAUUGGUCCAAAAACUUAAAUCUCAAGCAAAAUGAAUAGCUAUUUUAGGUUUAGUGGUUAAAUGGCUAAGGCUCUAUUAUUAUUGUCUAUAAGUUGCAAUUAAAAUUGAGUAUGAUGUGAGUAUCCUCUUUAAUUAAUUAAAAUUCUAUUUGCCUAAGGAGUAACUAUUGACCUAUAUAAAUGAGUUCAUAUUAUACAAAGAAUAUGACUUUAAUUGUAAAAAAAGAAAAAAAUUAUCUCCAAUUUAUUUGGUAAAAUGAAAGGCAAGUACAUCAUAAUUAUAGUAGGCAAUAUGGUUGUUGAGUUAGCUUGAAACUUUAGAACCUUUAGCACACCAAAUGAGAAAGGAAGAAAAAAUGGAUAAAAUUCGCGAAUAACCACUUUUUAGCCUCUGUAAUUGAAAAAUAAUCAUCGUCGAGUUUCAAAUUUCACAGUUGAUACUCUAGGACCUAUGAAAUUUGAAACUCCGUGAUAAUGACUAUUUAUCGAUUACAGAGCUGAAAGUGGAGUUUGAGUUCUUUAUUCUUUAUAUGACACUCAAGAAAAUCAAACAACAUUUCAUCACCAAAUACACAUCUUAUUUGCUCAGAAGUAUAUUUAUCAUAAUAUUAUUUGUAUACAUACAAAGCCAUAUAAUGAUCCCAAAACAACAACAGGAAAAAAUAGGCUUUAACAGAGAUUGAUAGUUACAAACCAUGCAGUAUAGGACUGAAAUGUUUCAAGUGCCUUCAAUGACAACUUCAUAAACUCAAAGGGUAAGGUGUUCCACCUUUCUUGUGUUACUAGCUACUCCUUGAUUUGAUUUUCUCUCGUCUUGCUCGUCGUAGGAGUUCCCUUUGUAGCUAGAGCUAGCCUCUUCGUUAUCCGAGCAGCCUGGUCUUUCAGUAAGGAACUGUUCCCAAAAGACAUCGUUCACUCGAACAGGAGCAGCUGCAGGCACUUGCUUGUUGGCAGUUGCAUCAUGUGAAGGUGGCAAAGAUUUGUCAUCAGUAGGAGGGAUUUUGUCAUUGGCAUCAGACUGUGAUUCGAAACGUUUACCUAUCUCUUGACCUAUUUGAGGCAUCCUCACUGAAUAUUGAUUUUUAUCGACUUGUGAAAGACAUGAAGCCAAAGAAAGAUUCAGUUGGCAGGAAAUGUGACCGUCAACUUCCUCGUUAGAUGUCAGGCUUUGUGGCAAGGGAUGCAGUCUUGAGCUUUCAACAUUGCUUGAAGCACGAGGUAGAGAUGAAUCCAUCUUCAAUGUAAAAGACGUUCCUGUAUCUGAUAGUUCUAUUGCUUCAGGGGUAUAAAUUACUCCUACCGUUCGAAGUUGCACUUCUCUGGACCAUCCUUCAGAUAUUCUCCUAUGUGCAGGGCUUCCGCCAUCAUCAUUCGAACUUUGGGUGCUGCAUGAAAGCACAUUGAUAUCUGAAACAGCAGGUGACAAUUCAAGCCUGAGCUUAUUUGAAAAGUCUUGAUGGGAAAGGUUCCCAAACUCAACUCUAGAACUGCUAUGGUUGUCCACCGACAUACUUUCUUGGACUGGUUGAGUGCUGUCGAUUUGAGGCAAUCGCCUCUUCUUACUAAAUGCAGAAAUAUCCAUGGACUCGAGUUUCUGAGCAAGACGCUCAACAAAGUCAGGAUUUUGAAUUGCCUUCUCAACAAAUGCCAGUAAACUCUCCUGCCUUUGCUCUAUACUGCCAACCCGCCCAGUUAGUUCUUCUAGCUGGAGUUUUGCAGCAGAUUGUUGCUGUCUGAACCUUGAGACAUUAGCCUCGAGCCCAGACUUCUCACGUGUAAGUUUAUCAAUCUCUUCCUCAAAUGCAGCUCUUUCUGGAUCAACUGUGGAACCUGGAGGGUGACUAUGACUGUGAAUGGGUUUUCUACGAUGAAUGUUCUUAAGUAGAUGCUUCUGGUCCUUCAAGAAUUCCUCAUUGGCAAAUUCCCAUCUUUCUGGAUCAAUCUUCCGGAAGCCCUGUCAAUUAGAUAUGUUUAUGAUGUCAAUAAUCCUAGAUUAAAUUAUGGCAGCAACUGAAAUCCUCUAGUAAGCAGGCGCAAUCGGUCCUAAUAGUAGUGAAAUGGAUAAAGAGAGAUUCAUAUAGCCAACCCCAACUAACUUGGGAUUGAGGUAUAUCUAAUGUUGUUGUCAACAAUUGAUAGUAUAUCUCUAUUUAAUGAACACGGAUCACCAAUCUCAGCAAAUAAUUUACUUAAACAACAAUUUAUCUUUGCGUUUCGUCUAUUGCAAUAUAAACACAAUUGGUAAGGGGUACAAACCAUGCUGAGUUUGGAUAAUCAACUCAGAAUAAAUCCGACAACUGGAAACUUCAAUAAAAAUACCCUUAGUCAUCAGGGAAGUAAAGCUCAAAAUUCACAGAUUGCAUGGAAUAACAAACAAACAAAAGCAGCAGCGACUACACUUAGACACGGGGUUACGUAGCAUUAUAUAAAUCUGACAAAAAUUGCAGAUAACUUGAGUAAAUUAGUGAGGUUCCAUCAGAUAUCAUGCAAAUUCUGACUAUACUCUAAAACAGAAGUGAACAUCUGCUCAAAUGCCCUGACUAAAAUUGUUUUGUUCGUUCCGAUUUUUCUUUAAACAGUUGUAUGUAUUUCAAUGUUUAUCACGCCACUCAGGAAGGUGUAUUUGGUUUUUUUUCUUUCCGCAGCAUUAAUCAUCAGUGAAUGUCUGGUAUGAACCCACAUAUUAAAUCACCAGCCAAUGACUGGUAUGACGUGACAUGCAGAGAUUUCAUCCUCGUGAUGUGUAGAGAAUGAUGCCAACAUCUUCUGGUACGAACUAUAGGUGCAACCAGGACACAGCUUUUCCAUGACCAAAGGUUGGUUUCCAAGAGAAUGUUGUUUUUGUGGAAGAAGCACAUACUGGUUUUAGUUGACAUGUUGAGAAAAACGUUGAAUCACUGGAAGGACAUCUGUUAAACACAAAGAAACACUAAACGUGGUGCCACAGGUGGAGAAACAAUAUUAGGAACAGCUAAGUUCCUCAAAACUAUAUUCACCACAGAGAGAUCUAGUUAUGUUAACCUUAUGUCAACAAUGUCAAAGGUUAAGGAAUCCUUCUAAUACCUUUUCUUUGUGCAUAAGCGAAUUCUUUAGUCGCAACCAAGUUGGAGGCAUUCCAUACAUACCAAGUGUAAAGCAUUCUAAGAAAGUCCAUACACCUAGAAAAAACCCAACGAGAAAAGAUAACCCCCUCCCCCUCUCCAUUUACCUUACCCAAAAGACCACGAUUUAUUGAAAAAAGCAUAUAUUAUCAGUUACGUCAAUCUAAGUGCUUUAAGAUGAACACAUCUAAUCAAGUGAAGUGCUCCAUCACAUAUACAUACCACUAGGUCCAGUUGCCAUCCUUAUAUGAAUACUCCCACCUCCACACUUAUCAUAACUAACCCACCAAAAACAAAAGAAGAAAAAAAUAGUUAGAACUUCCGCCUCCAUUUUGUUGUCUUCAAGCACAAAUUCAUCAUAAUAGUCCUCUCAUGUUUAACAGCCCAUCUCACACCCUCUAAUGAAAACAAAAAGGAUCCUGAUAAUUAGAUAUCUAUCUAAUAGAUUCACAAAAAACCUUGCACCUCGACAUUGCCCCACUUCAAUUAACUAUUCAUAAGCAAUAACUUCAUCAGAAACAACAACUAUGCCUUAAUCCCAAACUAGUUGAGCUAUAUGAACCCUCAAAAUCCAUUCUACUUCAUCUAUACUCAAAAAAGUUCAAGGGAAUUCAAUCAGCAAACCUCGACUUAUCACAUAGAAAAUUGAAGUAAGAAUUACAUGCUUGCUAGAUGCUAGAAUUCACCUAAUAUUCAUCCGUGAUUAAACGAACCACUAUAACCAUAGAAAUGCGGAAAUACAACAACUCAAGCUUGAACUUUAACCACAUAUUGUAGCUCAAAAUCACAUCAUAGAAAACCAAUUCAAAGUUUUUCAGCUGAAUCCAUUUCAACAGAAAGAUGACAAACUCAACAAUUCAAUUUCAAUAGACAAAAAAUUAAUUCAAAGAUUCAAUUUUUCAGCUUAACCCAUUUCAAAUACAGCAAAAUCAAUUCAAUGAUCCAAUUCUUCAGCUAAACCCUUCAAUUCAAAGAUUCAGCUAAACCCAUUGAAACAGACAGAAAAUCAAUUCUUAAGCUGAACCCAUUUCGAAAGAUCGAUAAUCAAUUCAAAGAUUCAAUUCUUAAGCUGAACCCAUUUUGAAAGAUUAGAAAAUCAAUUCAAUGAUCCAAUUUUUUCAGUUGAACCCAAUUCGAGAGAAGUCAAAGUGGAGAGAAAAUACAUACGUAAGUAUUGAGCUGUCGAAUGAAACUGGAGAAAUUGUUGUGUUUGAAAUAAGUAGGAAGAAGAAUUCGAGCGAAUUCUGGAGGAUUCCACACGACAAAGCUGUGACCAGUCGGAGUCCAUGAUACGAUGUCAUCAGUUUGCGAAUCAUCCACCAUCUCAUAUGUCUUCAACAAGAACGGCGCCGGACCUCCACCGCCGCCGGCCGCCACCGCCGCCGAAAUCACAUCCAUUUUAUUGAACUGAGAGAAACGCGCCGGCGAGGGACGACGAAUCAACUUUUGAAGACAAAAGGCUUAGCCGUCCGAACUUGACUUCUAAGUUUCAUUUUGAGUCUUCACUUACCCGGGUUUCGGGUCAGAACCGUUCGUUCGGGUUUCGGGUCAGUAUGGUUUGUUCGAGUUUCGAGUUAGUAAAGUUGGUUUGCGUAUCGAGUCAUUAGAGUUCGUUCAGGUAUCGGCUUAGUAAGAUUCGUUCGAGUUCUGAUUUAGUACACUUCAUUUGUUUGGAUUUUGGGUUUGUAUGAUUCAUUUGGUUAUCAGUUCAGUAGGAUUUGUUCUAAUUACAGAUCAGUACGAUUUAUCCAGAUUCAUGUUAAAACCUAUAGAUUCUAAGUCAAAACUGUUUAUUCGAAUUUUGAGCUAGUGUGGUUCAUUUUGGUAUCGGGUUAGUACGAUUCAUUCGGGUUCAAGUUAGUAUGGAGUAUGGUUCGUUCUGCUAUUGAGUCAGUAGAGUUCAUUCGGGUAUCGGAUGAGUAUAAUUCAUUCGAGUUCGGAGUUAGUAUAGUUCAUUCGUUCAUAUUCUAGGUUAGUACGGUUCUUUUGGGUAUCAGUUUAGUAUGGUUCAUUCAGACUUUGGAUCAAUACGAUUUAUUUAGAUUCACAUUAGAAUAGUUUAUCAUGUUUUGGAUCUCAGGUCAAACUGUUUGUUUGAAUUUCGGGUCGGUAUGGUUUGUUCAACUUUUGAAUAAAAAACUGUUAGCACAAUUUGUAUAAUAUAUAUACUUUCAGGUUAUACAAUUCACCACAAUUGUAUACAUAGAAGCAGGGGCAGACCCACGUUGGUUCCAGGGGUUCACCCAAACCCCCUCGACAAAAAAUUACACUAUAUAUUAAAGUAAAUUUUCUGUAUUUCUGUAGAUAUAUAUAUUUUGAACCCCUUUAAUAACAAAGAGAAACUGAUGCGCAGUGGCAAGUCCCUUGAAAAUUAAGUUGUGCGUCACUAGUUUGAAUUCAGUUAUGUUUUUCUUUUCUUUUUUUUUUACUUUAAAAAAUGUGCUAAAAGUGUGGUUUUAAAUCCAAAAAAAUCCAUAGUUCACAUUUUUAAAGGCUUAUUUACACGUUUAUACUUUUAUUUUUCAAACCCCCUGAACGAAAAUUCUGGAUCCGCCACUGCAUAGAAGAUAUUCAUUUUGUAGGAGAACAAAUAAAACAUUUUAUUCAUAAUAUGACUCUUAGUAUGAGAAUAAUAUUACAAUCCAUAGAUAUUCAUACACACCAAAACUAAAGUAUCUAAACCAUUUUUAGAAUGAGACCUUAUUGAAAGGGAAAUGUGCUCGUUAAUUAAAAACAACAAUAUAAUAACAUUAAUAAUAGUGAUCGCGAAAUUUCUGUCUUUCAUCCAUUAUUGUUACGUCCAUGAUGAUCCGAAGGGCUAUCAUGCCCCGGAGGAUCAAUGAAAGAAUCACCAAUUUGUAUCAAAUCAACUAAGAAUCAAAACAAAAGAAGUGUUGUAUUAUCAGAACCAUUCUUUCAGUUAAAUCAUUUCUCUCAUAGGAUCAUUUUUUUUUCUAUUAUCGCUCCAAUAAAAAAAAUCAAAAAAUCAUAUAUACCUGUUUUAGUCAUUGUUGUGGGUGCUACAGGGAAGAGCAAUCCACCCAAAAAUAUAAACAAAAUGAACAACGUGAGUGUUGCUUUAUACAACAUUUUUCCUAAGAACUUCAAAAAAAAAAAACUUUUGUUUAAUGAAAUUUGAUUACUUUUGUUUAAGUCAAGUUUUUUCCUAAAUUUCACACUUAUUUCAUACUUUUCAAAAUUAAACAACAAAAGGUCAUGUCAAAUCUUAAAUUCGACUCUCUUAUUAUUCAAUUUUUCAGGCCUCGUGGUGAGAAAAAAAAUGGUUUGUAUUAUGAAACAAAAAUAUUUAGGUGUGUUAAUAAUAUAUGAUUAAACUAAUUUAAAGAUAAAAAUAUUCUUUAUAUAAGUAGCGUAACAAUUUCUAUAUUAUUAAUUACCGUAUUAUGGUAAUUUCUUUACUGGCCACUAUUGUAAAAGAUUGAUUCAACGAGAUAUGUGUUUAAAAAGACUAAUACAUUAUUAAUAUAUUCACAACUUUACCAAUAGAUUAAUAUAAUUGAAAUCUAAGGAACAUAUGCAUUAAAUUUGUCUACUUACUUCUAUUUUAUUUUAUUUGUGUUACUUUCUUCUUCUUUAGUUCAUUUAAAACAAAUAUCUUUAAUUGACUGUUUAGUUAAAGUAAGACACUGAAAUUAAAAGGAAAUGAGCAUAUAGUAGUGAAAAUAGUUGAAUCACAUGACUAUUAUAAUAUAUGAAAGUGUUGGAUAUUUUGCAAAUAUUUUUUUUCCGAAUAGACGUAUAGUGUAAUAUUUUUAAAAUGAGUAUAAGAAUAUUUCUCCAUAUUUAUGAUAUGGCGUAAAAUUAUAAGACAUAUUAUGAGUUAAGGAUAUAAUCUUAUUUUCAUGACAUGACCUCUAUAUUUAUGUUGUGGCGUAGGCACUUUAAUUUUCGAAAAAGGACCAAAAAUACCCCUGAAGUACAGAAAAAGGUCUAAAAAUACCCUCCAUCCAUCUUUUAAUCUAAAAAUACCCUUUUAUUCAUCUUUUUGGUCUAAAAUUACCCUUCCAUCCACCUUUUUGCUCACUUAUACCCUUAAAACUAACAACCCUCUCUUUUUUUUUAAAAUACUUAUUAUGUGUCAUUUUCUUAUUGAAUGAAAUAUAAAUCCACCUCUAUUAAUUUUUUCCCAUAAUUUAUCCAAAUCAAAACAAUAUAUCUUUUCAAGAUCCAAAAAAUAUAUAUUUUUAAAUCUAGUAAUUUCUAUUUUCUAUAGUUUUUUUCCGAAAAAAAAUAAAUUGUUUUAGAUAAUUAAAAUAUUUUUAAAAAUACUAGUCAUGCCACAAUUACAGGGACAUACUAUAUUAAUAUAAAUCCUAAAAAAAUGUCUAUCUUUUUUUUUUUUUUAAAAAAGGAUCAUUUAAUUAUUUUGACUAAUAAUCUUGUCGUCCGCGUCAUUAGUGAUCAAAUCUUGGACUGGUGCACCAACUGGAACAACUUUUUUUUAGGAUUUAUAUUAAUAUAUUAUGUCCCUUUAAUUGUGACAUGACUAAUAUUUUUAAAAAUAUUUUAAUUAUCUAAAACAAUUUUUUUUUUUGGAAAAAAACUAUAGAAAAUAGAAAUUACUAGAUUUUAAAAAAAAUAUUUUUUAGAUCUUGAAAAGAUAUAUUGUUUUUAUUUGGAUAAAUUAUGGGAAAAAAUUAAUAGAGGUGGAUUUUUAUUUCAUUCAAUAAGAAAAUGACACACAAUAAGUAUUUAAAAAAAAAAAGAAGAGGGUUGUUAGUUGCAAGGGUUUAAGUGAGCAAAAAGGUGGAUUGAAGGGUAAUUUUAGACCAAAAAGAUGAGUAGAAGGGUAUUUUUGGACCAAAAAGAUGAGUAGAAGGGUAUUUUUAGACCAAAAGAUGGAUGAAGGGUAUUUUUAGACCUUUUUCUAUACUUUAGUGGUAUUUUUGGCCCUUUUCCGUUUAAUUUUUCAUUUGAAAUUCCAUAUAUAUUUUGAAGUUUGAUUAAAAUUUAAAUAAAUAAUUACUAAAUAUAUAUAUAUAUAUAUUCCACAACACAUAAAACAUUUUAUUCAUAAUAUGACUAUUAAUAUGAGAAUAUAUUACAAUACAUAGAUAUUCAUAAACACCAAACUAAAGUACUUACAUAUUUUUAGAAUAAGAUCUUAUUAAAAGGGAAAUGGGCUAGUAAAUUAACAACAACAACAACAAUAUAACAACGUUAAUAAUAGUGAUAUAUAUCAUCAGUUUAUGGCCGACGAUCGCAAAAUUUCUGUCUUUCAUUCAUUAUUAUUUUCAUUCUGUACCAUUAGCUCGAGGACUAGGAUCUCCAGAAUCAGCGAUUAAAGAACGGUUAUUUUGUACUAAACUUCUUGCUAUCACUGAGAAUCAAAACAAAAGAAAUAUUGUACAUUAGAAAGAUUUUUUCAAUUUUGUGAUUUUUUUUCAUAAAAGAUUGAUAUAUUGUUCCAACAAAUAAUUCGAAAAAUCAUAUAUACCUGUUUUAGUCAUUCUUGUGGGUGCUACAGGGAAGAGCAAUCCACCCAAAAAUAUAAACAAAAUGAACAAGAUGAAUGUAGGUUUGUACAACAUUUUUCUAAUCAACCACUUCAAAAAUAAAAAAAAAAUAUAAACGUUUGCUUAAUGAGAUUGAUUAAUUUUGAUGUUUUAUAAAGACUUUCUUCGGUCAUAAAGUCAAGUCUACUCCUAAAUUCCACACUAAUUUCAUCAUUUUCAAAAUUAAACACCAAAAGGUCAAGUCAAAUCUCAACCUUACCGUAUGUUGAAAGACAAAAAGCAGGUGAAAGCAGACAUUCUAGGAACUAUGAAAACUAGAUUAACAAACAAUACUUUACACUAUUUCAGGGUCGAGAUGUGACCCAACUUAAUGGAAAUGGGCAUAUCACUGCGGUGGAUCCACCUAGGUUAUACAUUGCGCCCCUUAAUUAUUACUCUCUCUGUUUAAAAAAGAAUGACCUCAUUUCUUUUUUAGUCAGUUUCAAAAAGAAUAAUCUCUUUCUUUUUUUGAUAACAUUUUAAUUUCAAUUUUCCGUGUGACAUGUUUAAGGUCACAAGAUUAAAGGGCAAUUUUGUACAUUUGACAUAACUUUAAUUUAGGACCACAAGAUUCAAAAGUCUUCUUUAUUUUCUUAAACUUCAUGUCAAGUCAAAUUAUAUCAUUCUUUUUGAAAUGGAGGGAGUACAUUAAUAUAUUAACUCUUUUUCUGACAAAAAAAAAGAAAAACACUAUAUACAUGAUGGUGGUCAAUUUCCUUUUCUCGACCUUCGUGUAUAGUUAAAUCUUUCUACAGUAAUAAUGUGUUUGAAAAGUCGGUGCUUAAUAUAGCGAGGUAUUGUUAUAUAUGUGUAUUGAUAUUUGACGUUUAAAUCUCAUUUAGCGGUAAUAAAUAAAAGUUUUUUUUUUAAUACUCUUUCUAUGUUAUAAAUGAUAAAAGAAUGCUUGUUAUAUUUAAAAUUUCUAUUGUUUUCAUAUUUCAUUAAUUAAAAAUUAAAAAGACCAACACGUUAUUAAUAAAUUCAUAAAUAGUUAUAUUGUACCAAUAAAGAAGUAAAAUCUUAGGAACAUAUGUAUUUUAAAUUAGGAAAAGUCUUUUUGGCUAGAAAAUUUGGUCAGAAUGAUAUUUUAUCUAUGUUAUUUUACUUUUUUAAAUAUUUUUACCCUUUUAACUUUGAUACAUUUUUACUAAAAAAUUGAAAAACCAUCGGUUUGUUUUAAAAUAAAAAAUCUACUAUAGUUUUUUUUAAUUUUCUGGCCAUUUAGCACUUUCCUUUAAAUUAAUUGGAAAUUUAAACAUUUCAAGUUUGACGUAAGAAUUCUAUAUUUAAGUUAUUUCGUAUAUUUCAGUCUUAUACACAUAGUAAUCUCUUCAUCUAUACAAGUUUACGAUAUGUAUGUCAUUAAUAAUGAUUAUCAUAAAUAUUUUAUUUUACACAUAACAUAUUUAUUAGAUAAUAUUUGAGUAUAACUAUUAUAAAGAGAAUUUUACAAAGAAUGUAUGAUUCAUUCGAGUUCGGAGUUAGUAUAGUUCAUUCGUUCAGAUUCUAGGUUAGUAUGGUUCGUUUAGGUAUUAGUUUAGUAUGAUUCAUUCAGAGUUUGGAUCAGAACGAUUUAUUUGGAUUCGCAUCAGAACAAUUUAUCGUGUUUUGGAUUUCAGGUCAAAACUGUUUGUUUGAAUUUCGGCUCGGUAUGGUUUGUUCAACUUUUGAAUAUAAACUGUUAGCACAAUUUGUAUAAUAUAUACUUUCAAGUUAUACAAUUCACCACGAUUGUAUACAUAGAAGAUAUUCAUUUUGUAGGAGAACAAAUAAAACAUUUUAUUCAUAAUAUGACUCUUAGUAUGAGAAUAAAAUAUUACAAUCAUAGAUAUUCAUACACACCAAAAUUAAAGUAUCUAAACCAUUUUUAGAAGGAAUAAUGGUCUGAAAAAUACCUCAACUUUGGUCGGAUUUGCUGUUGUGAUACUAAACUUUCAUGAGGACCUAUUACCUCCCUAGACUAUUUAAUACCGUAUUUUAAACAUAUAUAUUUGCCCACGUGGACAUAAAAAAUAAUGCAAAAUUAUAAAUAGUAAUGUGUCCAUGUGGGCAUAUAUAUACAUUUAAAAUACACUAUUAAAUAGUUCAGGGGGUAAAAAAUACAGUAUUAAAUAGUCUAGGGAGGUAAUAGGUCCUUAUGAAAGUUUAGUAUCGCAACAGCAAAUCCGACCAAAGUUGGGUAUUUUUCAGACUCUUAGUCUUUUUUAGAAUGAGACCUUAUUGAAAGGGAAAUGGGCUCGUUAAUUAAAAACAACGAUAUAAUAACAUUAAUAAUAGUGAUCGCGAAAUUUCUGUCUUUCAUCCAUUAUUGUUACGUCCAUGAUGAUCUGAAGGGAUAUCAUCCUCUGGAGGAUCAAUUGAAGAAUCAUCAAUUUGUAUCAAAUAUCUCGAUAUAAUUAAGAAUCAAAACAAAAGAAGUACUGUAUAUCAGAAAUAUUCUUUCAGUUGUAUCAUUUCUUUGAUAGAAUAUAUACACCUGUUGUAAUCAUUGUUGUGGGUGCUACAGGGAAGAGCAAUCCAGCCAAAAAAAUAAAAAAAAUGAACAAGCUGAGUGUUGCUUUGUACAACAUUUUUCCUAAGAACUUCAAAAAAAAUAAUCUUUUGUUUAAUGAAAUUUGAUUAUGUUUAAUGUUAAAGACUUUCUUUAGUCAUAAACUCAAGUCUUUUCCUAAAUUCCACACUUAUUUCAUACUUUUCAAAAUUAAACAGCAAAAGGUCAUGUCAAAUCUUAAAUUCGACUCUUUUAUUUUCCAAUUUUUCAGGCCCCAUGGUGAGGAAAAAAAUAUUGUUUUAUAUUAUGGAACAAAAAUAUUUAGGUGUGUUAAUAAUAUAUGAUUAAACUAAUUUAAAGAUAAAAAUAUUUCUUAAAUUUAGUGUCUAGUUAAAGUGUGUGUGUAUAUAUAUAUAUAUUAGUAUUUUUCGGGUAUUUCUUAGGCCUCAUGACCACAUAAUAUAUGCAAAUUUUGCAUUAGAUAAUUCCUCCUUGUAUUUCAACUAGUAACGAAAGCCCGGGCGCUGCCCGGGCCCAACAUUAAUAAAGUUAUAUUGUUAUUCUCUCCGUCCAAUAUUAGAUGAGAAUCUUACUAAAAAAAAAAAUUUCAUAUUAUUUGAGCACUUAUUAAAUUAGGAUAGAAUUAAUUAAUUCUUUUCCAUUUUACCCCUACAAUUAAUAUGACCAUUCCUAUAUUGUAUGUGUAUUUUUUGUAACUCAUUUCAAUGUGCAUUGAUAUAAAGAAAGGGCAAAAUGGUGAAGUCUUCCAAUGUAUUAAUGAUUUCUUAAUCACCGUGUAAAGUUGGAAGUGCCCAUCUAAUAUGGGACGGAGGGAGUAUAGUUUAUGUAUUGUUAUAAAAAUAGUAAAGAUUGUUGUAAUAUAUUUUGCUCAUAAGUGAGCUAAUAUAGAAACUUAUUUGUCAUUUGUCUUUUUAAUUUCAAUUUUAAAUAGCAAAUAAAUGUAGCGAUAAGAUUGAGGGUAGAAAUGAAGCAUAUCUUUCUAAAUUUAAGUAAAAAUAAACAGAGUAGAAGUAACAUUAGGGUUAUCGAUAGGACGAUUCAUUCGGGUAUUUUUUUAAAAAUUAUAUCAUUCAAUUUUUCGGCUAUUUUAUAAUGUAUAACCAAAAUUAAAAUUUUAAAAUCAUCCCAAUCCUAAUAUAUGUGACACAAGCAGUACAAAAAUUAGUCUUUUUUUUGUUCUCUUGUAGAUAUUUUAAGUUAUUAUUUAUUGUAAAUUAUAGUACUUUUUAUUAAAGUUUUUAAUAACAUAUGUUACUUUUUAUGUUUGAGAGUUAAACCAACUUUUUUUUAUAUGUCUUUUAAUUUUAUAUGUGUUUUGUCCUUUUCCAUUUUCAAAAACUAAUACUCUCUCCAUUUCAUUUUAUAUGUCAUUUAUUUUUAUAAAUAUAUUGGUUAUUCCCUCUUCUUAUGUCAUAUAUUAUGAAAUUUGAGAAGUUAUUGAAAUUUUUAUAUGAUUCUAAAAAUAUUUUAAAUUGUUAGCUAUUGUGAUUUGUAGUACCUUUUUUUACAGAAUUUUGAAAAUAAUAUUUAUUACUCUCUUUGUUCUAAUUUAUGUGGCACAUGCAAAAUUUCAAAUAUUAACUAUUUUUUAUAUGUCUCUUUACUAUAUUAAGUUGUUAAUUAUUGUAUUUUAUAGUACAUUUUGAACUUAAUUUUUAAAGAAUAUAUGUGAUUUCCCAUGUCCCAAUUUAUGUGGCAUUAAUUGAUAGAUUUGUUGGAGUCGAGCGAAUUUUUUUGUUAAUUAUUGUAAUUUAUAGUUUCUUUUUCGUCAAUUUCAAACAAUAUACGUUUAUCAUAUAAUCCAUUUUAUGUGGUACCAAUAGAAUUUAGAGAGUCAAUUAUAUUUUUUAUAUAACUUUUAAAUAUUUAAGCUAUUAAUUAUUGUAAUGUAUAGUAUUACUUAUAUUAUUUUUGAAUAUAUAUGUUACCUUUUUAAUCCUAAUUUAUAUGGCAUUGAUAGAAUUGAAAGUGUCAAAUAAUUGUUAAUUAUUGUAAUAUAGUAUGUAGUACUUUUUAUGUAGUUUUUACUAUUUUAAAGCAUACUAAGUAUAGUAUUACUUAUAUUAUUUUUGAAUAUAUAUGUUACCUUUUUAAUCCUAAUUUAUAUGGCAUUGAUAGAAUUGAAAGUGUCAAAUAAUUGUUGUAAUAUAUAUAUUUUUUUUUAGUAGAUAAGUGUGAAUGUGAGGGUAUUUUGAAAUACCCAAAAUACCCUCACCUUGACACUUAUGUUCAACCCUCUCCUUUUUUUUUUGGUGCCAUGUGUCAAAAGAAGAGUGAAUUUUAUUCACUCUUCUUAUAUAGUAAUAAUAUAUGUGAUAUUAUUUAGUUGGACAUAAAGACAAAAAGACGAAAACAUUUGAAAUUUAUAAUAUGUUAUAGAUAAUAAUGUAACUAUAAAUUAUUUUAAUUAAAAUAAAUCUAAAUAUAAAAUAAUUUCGUUUGGGACAAAUUAAAUAGGAAAUUAUAUCACAAGUAAUCAAAACUAGAUUUUAAUCUCUUCACAAAUAAACGACACUAAAUAUUAUUUUCAUGAUAUGACCUCCAUAUUUAUGAUGUGGCAUAUGUACAUAUUUUUAAAAAAAUUUCAUUGGAAAUUCAAUGUUUUGAAGUUCGAUUAAAAUUUAAAUAUAUAAUUACUAUAUACAUAUAAUCCACAACACGUAAAACAUUUUAUUCAUAAUAUGACUCUUUAAUAUGAGAAGAAUAUUACAAUCCACAGAUUUUCAUAAACACCAAGCUAAAGUACUUAAAACAUUUUUACAAUAAGAUCUUAUUGAAAGGGAAAUGGGCUAGUAAAUUAAUAAUUACUCUCCUUGUAUCAAAUCUCUUACUAUCGCUGAGGAUCAAAACAAAAGAAAUAUUAUAUAUCAGAAACAUUUUUUUAGUUAUAUAAUUUUUUUUCAUGAUUGAUAUAUCGUUCCAACAAAAAAUUCGAAAAUUUUUAUAUACCUGUUGUAGUCAUUCUUGUGGGUGCUACAGGGAAGAACAAUCCACCCAAAAAUAUAAACAAAAUCAACAAGGUGAGUGUUGCUUUGUACAACAUUAUUUUUCUCAACCACUUAAAAACAAAGAAAUUUUUUUGUUUAAUGAGAUUGAUUAGUGUCAAUUUAUUUAUAGAAAAAAAGGAAGAUAAAUUCAACUGCAUAGGCCUUUUUAAUUAAUUUUGAAGAUUUACAAAGACUUUCUUUGGUCAUAAAGCCAAGUCUACUCCUAAAUUUCACACUUAUUUUAUAAUUUUCAAAAUUAAACAGCAAAAGGUCCUAUCAAAUAUUAAAUUCGACUCUCUUUUUUUCUAAAUUUUCAGACCCCAUGGUGAGAAAAAAUAGUGUUAUACGUGUGAGAGAGAGAUUAAACUUAUCUAAAGAUUAAAAAAAAAAUUCUUUAAAUGAACACUGUGCAACAAUUUCUAUAUUAUACAUCACCACAUUAUUGUAAUUUCUUUAUUGUCUUUUAUUGUGAAAGAUUGAUUCAACGAGAUAUGCGUGUUUAUAUAUAUUGAGAGACAUUAAAUACGUAAUGGUGGACAAUCUCCUUUACAUGACCAUGCAUCAUGUACCGUUAAACUUCUAUGAUUUGAUUAAUUUUGAUGUUUUAUACAAACUUUAUUAGGUCAUAAAGUCAAGUCUACUCUUAAAUUCCACACUUAUUUCAUAAUUUUCAAAAUUAAAUAGUAAAAUUAAAGGUCAUGUCAAAUCUUAUAUUUGACUCUUUUUUUUCCUCCAAAUUUUCACACAUGGUGAGAAAAAAAAAGGAAAAAUUACAAAAGUAUACUACUUAAGACUUCUAUUAACAAAAUAUCAGUAUACUUAUAUUUAAUUACAAACUAAGUUUUUAAAUUACAUACAUAACAAAAUAUUUAAUUUUUUAUUUUACUUUAAAAAAAAAUUACCGGAUUUUCUCUCUCUGACUCUUAGUAGUUUGUGCCAUAUUAUGUGGAGUGUAAAUAGGUAUUUAAUUUUAUCAUAUAUUCUCUCUCAUUAAACAACCCACAUCCACACGUUUGCUUAUUCUUUUUUAUUUCCUUUUUUAUGUUUUGUAGUAAUUUAUUGGGAUUCCUUUUAUAUAAAGAUUUGUGGUACCAAUAAAGUUGUUACAGUACUAUAAUUGAGGUAUAGUUCCAAGAAAUAUUACAAAUCUCUUUUCACACGUUUCAUUAUUUUUUUAUUUCCUUUUUACAUUUUGUAGUCAUUUUUUUCUGUCCAUAUUGAUUUAUUCCUUUUAUUUAAAGAUUUUUUAUGAUACCAAUAAAAUUAGUACAAUUAUCAAUAACUGAGUUAUUUUCAAGAUAUAUUAGGAUUCCUUUUUCAGCGGUAUAUUGAGAUAACUCUUUAGUUUUAUUCAUCCAUAUUUCUUAAACCUAACAUCUUCUUCACUUAAUUGCUUGUCAUUCCAAUUAACCAGAGGCCUCACCAUAAUUUCUAACGCCUAACCAUCCAUCUUCUUCUUAUCAGAUUCUAAUGCCUAACUAAUUUUUUUACUUGAACAUAAUAUGUUAAUUCUGGUAACAGUCCAAACCAAAAUAUUAACCUUUUAUAGUUUUUUUACAAUUCACCGUUAUAUAGGUUGGUAUAUAAUUCAAACAUUUGAAUUACUUUAUACAACCAUUAUUAUGCAAUUGGUUUUAGCAUUACUCAAAUAUUAUACCAAAUCUGUUUUAUUUGUGCUAUUUGUUUUCAUUCAAUGUUUUAAUUUGCUAUAUAUACCAUUAAGUUUACCAAAUUUUGUGUAGGUUUUAUUAUAAGUAAAUCAUUUUUUUUACAUUAACAGAGUGAGUUUUUUUCUGGUAUCAUUCAAACCAUGAUUUUAAUUUUAAGUAGUUUUUUUCUAAAUUUAUUGUUUUAGGUUGGUAUAUAAUUCAAACAUUUGAAUUACUUUAUACAACCAUUAUUAUGUUCCUAUAUGUUUACCAAUUUUUGUUUCCUAUUUUAACGUAAGUUCACCAAAAUUCUCCUUUAACAGAUUGUAUUUAUUAUGGUUUCAAAUUAAACCAAUAUAUUAACACACCUCAUUUUUUCAAUAGUCCUAUAUUUUUUCAAAUAAUUGGUUUAAUCAACUUUUUACAUUAACAUAGUCUAUUAUUUCUGGUAACCAAGUUCUUCACAUUAACUAGUUUUUAAUAAUUUUUAUUUUAGGCUGGAAUUAUACCAACCUUACUUGCUCAUUCACAACGCGAUUAUUAAAUGAGUUCAUGAUAGCCAUUAAUAACAAUUACGGAUUCAAUAAUAUUAAUAAGAUACCAAAUAGUAAUCAACUUUCAAAUAAGGCUUCAUUGAGUUCAACUGUAUAAUCAAAUAAAUGAGUUCAACUGCAUAACUUUCUGCAAAGUAAAAAUAACAAUAAAAAUACUAUAACGCUAAUUCUCAUGUGAUUUUUUUGGGCAAGUCUUCUUGUUAUCCCCAGAUAAACCACAUUCACUAGAGGUGACUUUUCUUUUCUUUCCCUUUCUUUCGGUGAAUUCCUUGUCGCGAUCAUUUUUGGUGGUCUGCCUGGCUGCUUUCUUGCAAUUGAUGGUAACAUUACCUCUUUCAAAAGAUGUGAUGGAAUAUCCCAAGUGCUUUCGCAAGGCAAGGGUUCUAUUGGUAUUGCAUAUGUAUCCUGAUAAUUCUUAUUACUAUAAUAAGCGGAAUAGUAGUCAUCGCGAUGUUUAUUCCUAUAUUUGAUAGUAGCAAUUACAUAACUACAAGGGAUCUCAUCGUGUUGAAAUCUACCACAACUGCACAUACGAGUAUUUAGACAUACUGUAAACCUCUUUGCACCAUUUAUAACUGUAUGAAGGUGUUCUGUUGAUCAGCGUACCUUCAAUUUAAAACAUACAUUAUCAGUAAUAAUACCAAAACAUACUAUGUAUAAUAUAGUAUUGUUAAUACUUACUAUGUAUUGAAUUACAAACUCUUAAUAUCUUGCUAAAUUUUGCAGAAUGCAGUUACUACAUCCAUAUAUUUAAACAUCUUGGUAGUUACAUUGGUAAUUGAUGGCACACAACUAAGUUUUUCUUUUUAUACACUCUAGUAAGUGACUAACUUUUUCACCAUUUACUAUACUAAAUAAUAAAUUGGCAUACUUGUGGUAAUUCACACUAACAGGUAUACCAANNNNNNNNNNNNNNNNNNNNNNNNNNNNNNNNNNNNNNNNNNNNNNNNNNNNNNNNNNNNNNNNNNNNNNNNNNNNNNNNNNNNNNNNNNNNNNNNNNNNNNNNNNNNNNNNNNNNNNNNNNNNNNNNNNNNNNNNNNNNNNNNNNNNNNNNNNNNNNNNNNNNNNNNNNNNNNNNNNNNNNNNNNNNNNNNNNNNNNNNNNNNNNNNNNNNNNNNNNNNNNNNNNNNNNNNNNNNNNNNNNNNNNNNNNNNNNNNNNNNNNNNNNNNNNNNNNNNNNNAUAUUAUCAAUUUUUCAAUUUAUUAUAUACACCAAUUCAAAUAAUCAAAAUAAACCAAAUAAUGUACCAAAAUAUUAUUUUAUUGUUGUAUUUUUAUAUACCAAAUAAUACAACAAAAAACACAUAUACAUGCACCUACAAUCUUACUUGCAGUUGGUAUGUGUACACCAUAUCACAUAUCAAAAGUAAUAUUGAUACAAUCUGUUAACAUACGCCAUUCAACAUACCAAUUUAAACACACAAUUUAUGAUGUUAUUUUAAGUUGUUGCAUUAAUCAAUUAAACCUAAAUUUUUCAAAAAAAUCUUAUUCGACACAUCAGAUUACAAUAAAAAUCAUAUGAAGUUGUUGUAAUUACACCAAAAUCGUUAACAUAAAACAACAAAUCAAUACCAAAAGAAUAAAAACUCAGAUGCUGUGAAAAACUCAAUAUUAUUUCACAAACAAUUGAUAAAUUUUAAUAUUUAUUUAUAAUUAAACCAGCAUAUUGAUGCUCCAGAACAUCAAACAAAUCGUAUGAAUUUACAUUCCACCAAAAUCGACAAAAUAAACCAAAAGAAUAACUACAAAAAAGAUUAAAAUCAAUAUGUUGUAAAAAAUCAAAUACAACCACGAAAAAAAUCACCAUAUGAACUGUUUUUUAUCAAUUACCUGAUGAGUCGCAUCACCCGCUGUGUUGAAUUAGAAUUGAAAAUUAUUGGUAUGCAUUUAGAUCGUCGAUCUUAGUAGAGAAGAGGAGUUUUAUUUUUGUAUGAAACCUAGAUAAUAUAUAACAAAUUGGGAAGUAAAAUCAAAGGAAAAGUAAAAAUAAUUGGAGAAAUUUAAGGGAUACGUGAUAUUUGUGGCUGACUUGGUAAACGUUUUUAAAAAAAGAUAAAAAUUCUAGUUUUGAAAAAAAAAUAUUGUUAUAUAGUUGAAAAAAAAAGUAUUGCUAUAUUGAUGUAAUUAAAGACUUUAAGUUGUAUAUUUAAGUUUUUUGCCCAAAAAAAAAUAGUGUUUUAUAUCAUGAAACAAAAAUAUAUACAUGUGUUAAUAAUACAUGAUUAAACUAUAUCUAAUGGCAAAAAUAUUCUUUAAAUAAGUAUUGCUCAGCAAUUUCUAUAUUAUUAAUUAUCGUAUUAUUGUGAUUUCAUUAUAGUCUUCUAUUGUGAAAGACUGAUUCAACAAGAUAUUUGUGUUUAUAUGUGUUGAGGCAUUAUAUGUUAGGAAGUCUUACGGAAAAUAUUUCAUUACGAACACUUGUAUGGAAUUCAUUAAAGCUUGAGGUGUGUUUGCAGACACUAUCCUUAUAUUUCACCCGUUAUAGGUGUAUCCCAGGAUUUAACAAACUCAUUCUAGUAGAAAUUAGGAGCUAAAAACUAGAGUCCGGAGUCUAAAGGGCAAAAAAAUUUGACAAAAAUUUCAAAAGGGCACAUAAAAAAAAAUUCUAACCAAAAGGGCAAAAUCGCUACUUCAGUAGCAAUUUUGUUUGACACCGUUAACAGAUCAAAAUCGCUGCCCUGAUUUUGUCCAACUUUUUUUUUUCUUCAGAAAAUCGCUGCCCGGGCAGCGGUUUGAGUUUUUUUAAAAAAAAUUAAGAUCGCUGCUAUGGCAGCAAUUUCCAAAAAAAUAAAAUAAAAUUGUUUUUAUAAAAACAUUGCCACAGCAACAAUUUGGAUACAUUUGGAUAGAUUAAUCUAUACAUUUGGAUAAACCUAUAAGAAAAAAUCUUGAUCAAGAGGAUGAGACAAUUAAUCGAAAAUCAAUUAAGGCAUUUAUGUACCUUAAGGCAUGCAAAGAUCCCAGGAAGACCAUGACCACAACCAAGCUAAAAACAAAUGAAAAAGAGUCAAUAAGAUUAAGGGAUAAGGGUUUGAAAAACAUUUCCGCGAUUGAAAGUAACCAAACACUGAAAAAUGGUUUCAUCAAGUAAAAUAUCUAACCAAAUAUAAUUGAAAUCUAAGGAACAUAUGCAUUAAAUUUGUCUGCUUACUUCUAUUUCAAUUUAUUUGUGUUACUUUUUUCUUCUUUAGUUCAUCUAAAACAAAUUCUUUAAUUUACUGUCUAAUUAAAGUAAGACACUGAAACUAAAAAUAAAUGAGCAUAUAAUAGUGAAAAUAGUGGAAUCAUAUGGCUAUUAUAAUAUAUGAAAGUGUUGGAUAAUUUGCAAAUAUUAUUUUCCGAAAAAACGUAUAGUGUAAUAUUUCUAAAAGAAUAUUUUUCGGGUAAUUUUUGUAUUAGAAAAUUCCUCCUUAUAUCCCAAUAUAUGUGAUAUUAUUUGGUUGGACACAAAGACAAAAAGUAAAAUUGAAAUUUGUAACAUGCUAUAAUGGUUAAACUAUAAGUCACUUCAAUUAAAACAAUUUCAUAUGGGACAAUUUUUUAAAAAAAGUAUCACGUGAAAUAGGACAUUUUAGCACAAAUAAUUAAAAAUUAGAUUUUAAUCUCUUCACAAAUAAACGAUACUAAUCUCAAAUUUUAAACUAAUGUAAGAAAUAUUUAAUAGGAAAGCAAUCUAUUCAUAAAAAUUGAAUACGAGUAGUAAUAAAAAUUAUAAGACAUACUUAUAAAUAUGAUGUUAUUUUAAUAAUAUGAUCUCCAUAUUUAUGAUGUGGCGUAAAAUUAUAAGACAUAUUAUGAGUUAUGAAUAUAAUCUUAUUUUUAUGAUAUGACCUCCAUAUUAAUUAUGAUAUGACGCAUGCACAUAAUUUUUGUAUAGUUUUUCAUUCGAAAUUUAAAAUAUAUAUUGAAGUUCAAUUAAAAUUUAAAUAUAUAGCUCCACAUCACAUAAAACAUUUUAUUCAUAAUAUGACUCUUAAUAUGAGAAUAAUACUACAAUCCAUAGAUAUUCAUACACCAAACUAAAGUACCUAAAUAUUUUUAGAAUAAGAUCUUAUUGAAAGGGAAAUUGACUUGUUGAUUAACAACAACAAUAACAACAUUAAUAAUAGUGACGUCAUUAUAUUAUUUUUCUCAAACACUUAAGAACAAAAAUAUAAACAAAAUGAACAACGUGAGUGUUGCUUUGUACAACAUUAUAUUAUUUUUCUCAAACACUUAAGAACAAAGAAAAACUUUUGUUUAAUGAGAUAGAUUAGUGUCAAUUUAUUUAAAGAAAAAAAAGGAAGAUAAAUUCAACUGCAUAGGCCUUUUAAAUUAAUUUUGAAGAUUUAUAAAGACUUUUUUUUUUUGUCAUAGAGUCAAGUCUACUCCUAAAUUUCACACUUAUUUCAAUUUUUUCAAAAUUAAACAUCAAAAGGUCAUAUCAAAUAUUAAAUUCGACUCUCUUUUUUCUAAAUUUUAGACCCCGUGGUGAGAAAAAAAAUAAUGUUUUAUAUUAUGGAACAAUUAUAUAUAGGUGUGUUAAUUAAUUAUAUAUAUAUAUAUAUAUAUAUAUAUACACCACAUUAUUGUAAUUUCUGUAUUGUCCUCUAUUGUGAAGACUGAUUCAACAAUAUGUGUGUUUAUAUAUGUUGAGAGGUAUUAAAUACAUGAUGGUGGACAAUUUUCUUUUUUCGAUUAUUAUGUACACUUAGGGGUCGUUUGGUGUGAAAGAUUAUACUAAAUAGUCUUGGGAUUAAAUUAUAAUGUCACUUAAUUUGUUGAUUAUCUCAAGAUUAACAAUUAGUAUCGAAAUAAGUUAUCCCUCUCUUUGAAUGGUAUAAUAAUUUCAUCAUAAUUUGUCAUAGGAUAUAAAUGACAAAAUCACCCUUCAAACUCUUUUAUCUUAUCACUCUUCUUAUAUAUAUAUAUAUGUGUGUGUGAAUUUCGCAUUAGAUAAUUUCUUAUUGUAUUUUAAUAUAUGUGAUGUUAUUUGGUUUGACACAAAAAUAAAAUGAAGAAAACAUUCAAAAUUUAUAAUAUGCUAUAGAUAAUUAUUUUACUAUAAAUCAUUUCAAUUAAAAUAAAUCUAAAUAUAAAAUAAUUUCAUAUGGAACAAUUUAUUUUUUUUAAAAAAAUAUCACGGGAAAUAGGACAUUAUAUCUCAAAUAUUACAAUCCACAGAUUUUCAUACACACCAAACUAAAGUACUUAAUUAAUAAUAGUGACGUCAUCCGUUUAUGGCACGGGACCUCGCGGGCUUCUGUCCCCCGGAUCUUGAAUUCCCCGAGGAAUUCCCAAUUUUUCCACGUUCACUGAGAGUCGAAACAAAAGAAAUGUUGUGCAUCAGAAAUAUUCUUUUAGUUAUAUGAUUUAUUGAUAAAUAAAAAUAUUUAUAUGAAUUAUUUGUUUUCGUACAAAAAAAAUAAUCAAAAAAUCAUAUAUAUACCUCUUGAAGUCAUUCUUGUGGGUGCUACAGGGAAGAACAAUCCACCCAAAAAUAUAAACAAAAUCAACAAGGUGAGUGUUGCUUUGUACAACAUUAUUUUUCUCAACCACUUGAGAACAAAGAAAAACUUUUGUUUAAUGAGAUUGAUUAGUGUCAAUUUAUUUAUAGAAAAAAAAAGGAAGAUAAUUCAACUGCAUAGGCCUUUUUAAUAAAUUUUGAAGAUUUAUAAAGACUUAUUUUGUCAUAAAGUCAAGUCUACUCCUAAAUUCCACAAUUUUUACAUCAAAAGGUCAUGUCAAAUAUUAAAUUCGACUCUCUUUUUUCUAAAUUUCAGACCCGUGGUGAGAAAAAAAAAAUAUUGUUUUAUAUUAUGGAACAAUAAUAUAUACGUGUGUUAAUUAUAUAUAUUCUUUAAAUAAGCAUUGCGUAACAAUUUCUAUAUUAUUAAUCACCACAUUAAUGUAAUUUCUUUAUUGUCCUCUAUUAUAUAUGAAAGACUAAUUCAACAUAUGUGUGUCUAUAUAUGUUGAGAGACAUUAAAUACAUGAUGGUGAAUAAACUUUUUUUUUUCAAUUAUAUAUCAUGUACGCUUAAAAUCUCUCUAUAUAGUAAACGUUACAUACUUUUGUCUGAAAGUUUCAUGCUUAUAAUUAGGGGUGUUCACGGGUUGGUUUGGAUCGGUUAUUGGUCAAAACCAAAAUCAAACCAACUUAAUCGGUUUUAAAAUUAUCAAAACCAAACCAAACCAAAUAUAAUAUACAUUUAUCGGUUUGGUGAUUAUCGGUUUCGGUUUGGUUUGGUUCGGUUAUUCGGUUAUUAACCAUACACAAAAAAAAAAGAAACAAUUCAUUUAAAAUGUGAAAAAAUGACAACAAUCCAUUCAAAACGAAAAAUAGUUAGAAUGACUUAAAUUACUAAACUUUCAAUCACUAAAUUUACUAUCAAUAAAGCUUUAAAAUUCACUAUAUUGGCCUAGAAGGAAGAGACAAUAACAUUUUCAGUCCCACAAAAAAAUUGACAUACACACUCAUAUACAUGAAAUCAAUAAGAUAAAUGUUUCAUCUUGGGCAUUUUUGCUUUCAAUAAGUAAAUUAUAAAGAAAUUUUAAUGAAAAUAUGUAUAAGAUCUUUAAAAUUGUUUAUAAAAANNNNNNNNNNNNNNNNNNNNNNNNNNNNNNNNNNNNNNNNNNNNNNNNNNNNNNNNNNNNNNNNNNNNNNNNNNNNNNNNNNNNNNNNNNNNNNNNNNNNNNNNNNNNNNNNNNNNNNNNNNNNNNNNNNNNNNNNNNNNNNNNNNNNNNNNNNNNNNNNNNNNNNNNNNNNNNNNNNNNNNNNNNNNNNNNNNNNNNNNNNNNNNNNNNNNNNNNNNNNNNNNNNNNNNNNNNNNNNNNNNNNNNNNNNNNNNNNNNNNNNNNNNNNNNNNNNNNNNNNNNNNNNNNNNNNNNNNNNNNNNNNNNNNNNNNNNNNNNNNNNNNNNNNNNNNNNNNNNNNNNNNNNNNNNNNNNNNNNNNNNNNNNNNNNNNNNNNNNNNNNNNNNNNNNNNNNNNNNNNNNNNNNNNNNNNNNNNNNNNNNNNNNNNNNNNNNNNNNNNNNNNNNNNNNNNNNNNNNNNNNNNNNNNNNNNNNNNNNNNNNNNNNNNNNNNNNNNNNNNNNNNNNNNNNNNNNNNNNNNNNNNNNNNNNNNNNNNNNNNNNNNNNNNNNNNNNNNNNNNNNNNNNNNNNNNNNNNNNNNNNNNNNNNNNNNNNNNNNNNNNNNNNNNNNNNNNNNNNNNNNNNNNNNNNNNNNNNNNNNNNNNNNNNNNNNNNNNNNNNNNNNNNNNNNNNNNNNNNNNNNNNNNNNNNNNNNNNNNNNNNNNNNNNNNNNNNNNNNNNNNNNNNNNNNNNNNNNNNNNNNNNNNNNNNNNNNNNNNNNNNNNNNNNNNNNNNNNNNNNNNNNNNNNNNNNNNNNNNNNNNNNNNNNNNNNNNNNNNNNNNNNNNNNNNNNNNNNNNNNNNNNNNNNNNNNNNNNNNNNNNNNNNNNNNNNNNNNNNNNNNNNNNNNNNNNNNNNNNNNNNNNNNNNNNNNNNNNNNNNNNNNNNNNNNNNNNNNNNNNNNNNNNNNNNNNNNNNNNNNNNNNNNNNNNNNNNNNNNNNNNNNNNNNNNNNNNNNNNNNNNNNNNNNNNNNNNNNNNNNNNNNNNNNNNNNNNNNNNNNNNNNNNNNNNNNNNNNNNNNNNNNNNNNNNNNNNNNNNNNNNNNNNNNNNNNNNNNNNNNNNNNNNNNNNNNNNNNNNNNNNNNNNNNNNNNNNNNNNNNNNNNNNNNNNNNNNNNNNNNNNNNNNNNNNNNNNNNNNNNNNNNNNNNNNNNNNNNNNNNNNNNNNNNNNNNNNNNNNNNNNNNNNNNNNNNNNNNNNNNNNNNNNNNNNNNNNNNNNNNNNNNNNNNNNNNNNNNNNNNNNNNNNNNNNNNNNNNNNNNNNNNNNNNNNNNNNNNNNNNNNNNNNNNNNNNNNNNNNNUAUUUUAUCGGUUUGGUUUGGUUUUUCGGUUUGGAUCGGUUUUUAUCCAAACCGUGAACACCCCUACUUAUAAUAGUGAAGUGUAUAUAUAUAUAUAUUUUUUUUUUAUUUUUUUUUUAUUUUUAUUUUUUAUUUAUUGACAUCGGACGAUUAGAUCUUAUUUAAUUAUUAUAAACAAAAAUAUGUAAAAAAAAAUUUGUACUUUUUAUGUUAUAAAUGAAACAAAAUACUUGUUAACCUAAAAUCCGAAAUGAUUUUCAUAUUUCAUUAAUUAAAAAUUGGAAAGAGUAAUACAUUACUAAUAAAAAUAUAAAAUACAUAGCUAGUUAUAUCAUACCGACAAAUAAUUAAAAUCUAAAGAACAUUUACAUUUGAAAUUAAUUGAAAAUUUAAACAUUUCAAGUUUACAUAAGAAUUCUAUAUUUAUAGGCUGUUUUGCAAAAUUUUAGUUUCUUAGCUAUUACACAAUAGAUAAAACAGUUUAUUCAUAAUACGAAAUAAUAUUACAAUCCAUAGAUACUUAUACACACGAAAACUUAAUUAAGGACCUAAGCAAAAUACUACAUUAAUAAUAGUGAUCAUUAAAUUUCUGUCUUUCAUCCACUAUUAGUAGGGUUAACGAUGUCCUUGACGAUCUGAACUACUAUUAUCCUUUAAAACACCAAUUAAAGAACGAUCAAUCUUUAUCAAAUCUCUUGCUAUUACUGAAAAUCAAAAUAAAAGAAAUAUCGUACAUCAAAAACAUUCUUUUAGUUAUAUAAUUUUAUUCAUAGGAGAUUGAUAAAUAAAAUAUGAAAAAAUAUAUUUAUAGGAUCAUUUUUUUUUUCAUUCAAAAAAUCAUAUAUACCUGUUGUAGUCAUUCUUGUGGGUGCUAUAGGGAAGAGCAAUCUUUUAGUUAUAUAAACAAAAUGAACAAGGUGAGUGUAGCUUUAUACAACAUUUUUCUGAACCACUUAAAAAUAAAAAAAUUUAUAUAGUUUUUGUUUAAUUAAUUGACUAGUGUCAAUUUAUAGAGAAAAAAAAAAUAGGCUCAAUGCAUGUGUAUCAUGAAUUUCUCUCCAAUGUAUUUGACAUCUUGAGGCAAAGACUUUAGACAGUUGCAUGGAAAAUAUGGAACAAAAACUUUGCCUAUAUUGUAUGGGGAAAGUUUUCAUAUUUGAACGUCACUGGUCUGAUUAAUUUAGAUUCAUUUAGUAUAAAUGAACCUAUUAAGAUAGUUGAAAAGUUUUCUAUAAAAAAAAUCUUUAUUUUUAAAAUUCUUUUGUUACAUUCGACAAAGACUUCGAUUUAAUUAGUUGUUUGUGAAUUCUUUAUGCCGUUUUGUAAUGUCAAUAUCGUAGAUGUGAACUUCUAUUUGAAAAACAAGAGGAAGAAAAUAUUUCACAUAAUUAGGACUUAGUCUUAUUAGUAGCGUAUUUAUGUAUUUGGCUUGGUGAUAAUAUAAAGCAUCGUGUCGAUUGUUGUACAUAUAAUUAUUGGUUUUUGUAUUUGAUAUUGCCUAUUCAUGUGUUUAGGUGAUCGGACAUUGCAUAUAUGUUCUGCAUUGCUUUGCUUUGUAUUAACCAUAUUAUUAUACGUUCUUACUUUUGAUGUCUCGCAUCAUUAAUUGCUUACUAUGUUUCGAUUAUCGUACUAUUCUGUUAGUCGUUGUGUAGUUACAAUCUCUUCUACAUUGUUUCUUCUUCUUUAUACUUGAAUGUGUUGCACUCGAGUGUGGAUCUUCCAGAAACAGUCUCUCUACCUCCACAAAGUAGUGAUAAAAAUUACGCAUGCUCUUUCCUUCACAAAUUCCACUUGUGGGAUUUCAUUGAAUAUGUUAUUGUUGUUUUUCUUGUAAGAAUCCUUUGGUACUCAAAAUAAGGUAAGAUAUCCUAGGAUUAAAUUUGAGAUUAGAUAUUCGAUUAAUCUUGAAUUUAAUCAUGAAUAUCCUUAUCUUACCAAACUUGAAAAUUAUUGACUAGUAUAGUGUAAUAUUUUUUUAGGUAAUUCUUAGGCCUCAUGGGCACAUGACAAUAUAUGUAAAAUAUUUUAUUCAUUAUAUGACUCUUAAUUAAUAUGAGAAAUUACAAUUCAUAGAUACUCAUACACACCAAAACUAAAGUAUUUAAACAUUUUUAUGAACUCGUUAAUUAACAACAACAAUAACAACAUUAAUAAUAUUUUGCUGGGGACAAAGUUGACAUAAUAAGGUGAAUGACGCCUCUUAUUCAGAGGACUAUUGGGAGCAACGUGGGCUCUUUCAUCCCUUAAUAUUAAUAAUUGUGACAUCAUCCAUUUAUGGACGAUGAUCUGGAGGACUAUUGUCAAUCGGAACAUAAAUUAACGGAGAAGGAAUAUUGAAAAAACUAUCAAUCUGUCUCAAAUCUCUCGUGAUAUCUGAUAAUCAAAACAAAAGAAAUGUUAUACGUUAGAGAUAUUAUUUCAGUUAUAUGAUUUUUUGAUAAAUUCAAAUAUUUAAAGGAUAUUUUUUUUUCAUACAAAAUUUUAAAAAAAUCAUAUAUACCUGUUGGAGUCAUUCUUGUGGGUGCUACAGGGAAGAGCAAUCCACCCAAAAAUAUAAACAAAAUGAACAAGGUGAGUGUUGCUUUGUACAACAUUUUUCUUAAGCACUUUGAGAAAAACUAUAUUAUAAAAAAAAAAAUGAUGGGUUAAAUUGCACAGCCCUUUUAAUAAAUUUUGAAGUUUUAUAAAGACUUUCUUAGGUCAUAAAGUCAAAUCUUCUCCUAAAUUCCACACGUAUUUCAUAAUUUUCAAAAUUAAACAUCAAAAUGUCAAGUCAUAUAUUAAAUUCGACUCUCUUUUUUCUAAAUUUUCAGAUCCCAUUGUGAGAAAAAAGUAGUGUUUUAUAUUAUGAAAUGAAAAUAUAUACGUGUGUUAAUAUUACAUGAUUAAACUAAUCUAAAGAUAAAGAUAUAGAAAUCUCACGUAAGUAUGGAGAAAUCAAGGAUUGUAUUGAUAAAAAAUAAUGUUGAGUUACAAGCUCCCUAUAUAGGAGAAGAGUCCUAUUCUAGCUAUACUAGGAAUUCUACUACAACACAAAUAUAUUAAUAUACAUGAUAUCCUAGUCGACUUUAACCUCCUACACGAUCCAGUAACUUAGUCGUACAUAAUUUAGGAUUUAGUAGUCUAGUCCUAAUAUGACUCUAAUUCUAACUCGUCAGCCUGCUUCGAUGGACCUGUUCCUUCGACAUAUUCCUUCAGUCUUCAGGCUUCCUUCAACAAAAAAUAUUCUUUAAAUAAGUUGCGUAACAAUUUUUAUAUUAUUAAUAACCGUAUCAUGAUAAUUUAUUUAUUGUCCCCUAUUGUGGAAUACUGAUUCAACGAGAUAUGUGUGUUUAUAUAUGUUGAGAAAAAUUAAAUAUAUGAUGGUGGAUAAUAUAUUUUUCUCGACCUUCAUAUAUAUAUAUAUAUAUAUAGUUAAACCUCUCUAUAGUAAUAAUGUUUGUCUUAAAGUUUCGUUUCUACUAUAGAGAGUUGUAGUUAUAUAUAUAUAUGUACAUUCAUAUUAGGUGUUUAGAUCUCAUUUUAGAUGUUAUAAACAACAGUAUGUAAAAUUACUUUUUGUACUUUUUUAUGUUAUAAAUAAAAAUAAAAUACUUGUUAAAUUUAAAAUCUCAAUUUGUUUUCAUAUUUCAUUUAUUAAAAAUUGAAAAGAUCAAUACAUUACUGACAAAUUCAUAACUAGUUCAUGUACCAUACUAAGCUUUUGACUUUUCUAUUAAUUCUACAACAAAUAAAACAUUUUAUUCAUAAUAUGACUCUUAAUAUAAGAAAUUUCUCUCCAAUGUAUUUGCCAUCAUGAGGCAAAGACUUAGACAAUUGCAUGGAAAAUAUGGAACAAAUUUAAGACUUUGCCUAUAUUGUAUGGGGAAAGUUUUCAUAUUUGAACGUCACUGGUCUGAUUAAUUCAGAUUCAUACUAGUAUAAAUGAACCUAUUAAGAUAGUUGAAACGUUUCCUAUAAAAAAAUCUUUUUUUAAAAUUCCAAACUUAGAGACAUUUAAUUAAGUUCGAAGGAAUUUCACUUGAUUUGUCACAUUCCUUGAUGGAAAAAAAUAUUUUGAUACAUUAGACAAAGACUUUGGUUUAAUUAGUUGUUUGUGAACUAUGUAUGCUGUUUUGUAAUAUCAAUAUCGUAGAUGUGAACUUCUAUUUAAAAAACAAGAGGAAGAAAAUAUUUCACAUAACUAGGACUUGUCUUAAUUAUUAGUAGCGUAUUUAUGUAUUUGGCUUGGUGAUAGUAUAAAGCAUCGUGUCGAUUGUUGUACAUAUAAUUAUUGGUUUUUGUAUUUGAUAUUGACUAUUCAUGUGUUUAGGUGAUCGGACUUUGCAUACAUGUUCUACAUUGCUUUGCUUUGUAUUAACCAUAUUAUUAUAUGUUCUUACUUUUGAUGUCUCGCAUCAUUAAUUGUUUACUAUGUUUCGAUUAUCGUACUAUUCUGUUAGUCGUUGUGUAGUUACAAUCUCUUCUACAUUAUUUUCUUCUUCUUUAUACUUGAAUGUGUUGCACUCGAGUGGGGAUCUUCCAGAAACAGUCUCUCUACCUCCACAAAAUAGUGAUAAAAAUUACGUAUGCUCUACCCUUUCCAAACUCCAUUUGUGGAAUUUCAUUGAAUAUUUUAUUGUUGUUUUUCUUGUAAGAAUAUAUCGUUUGGUACUCACUAUAAGGUGAGAUAUUCUAUAUUCCUGUUGCAGUCAUUCUUGUGGGUGCUACAGGGAAGAGCAAUCCACCCAAAAAUAUAAACAAAAUGAACAAGGCGACUUUAGCUUUGUACAACAUUUUCUCAACCACUUAAAAAAUAAUAAUAUAGUUUUUUUUUUAAUGAGAUUGAUUAGUGUCAAUUUAUAGAGAAAAAAAUAAAUAAAAUAGGCUCAAUGCAUGUGAAUCAUGACUUUAGACAAUUGCAUGGAAAUAGGGAACAAAGACUUUGCCUAUAUUAUAUUGUAUGGGGAAAUUUCUCUCAUUCGUACAUUACUAGUCUGAUUAAUUUUAAUUCACGUUAAUAUAAAUGAACUUAUUAAGAUAGUUAAACAUUUUUUAUCAAAAAAAAAUUCAUUUAAAAAUCUCAAACUCGAGACAUUUUAUUAAGAGUGAAGAAAUUUUAAUCAAUUCGUCACAUUUUCUUUUGUUAUAUUCGACAAAGACUUUGAUUUGAUUAGUUGUAUGUGAACUUUGUGCGCCGUUUUGUAGAGUCAAUAUCAUAGAUGAAUAAAGUGGAUAUUUUAGAAUUAAAUUGAAUUUUAAAUUUAUACCGUAUUUGAUUAAUCUCAAGUUUAAUCCUAAAUAUGUCAACUUAUAUCAUCAAACUUGAAAUUAUUUUAUGCUUUAGUCGACUAAGUUUAUUGACUAAUAUUAUGUGAUUGUCCCUAUCUGGUCUAGCUCUAUUUUUGUGAGCUUACUCACAUAGUCGGUCUCUAGAUAAGGCCACAAUACUGAGGAUUCAUAUAAUUGAUACUAACUAUUUGGGUUUGAGGCACAUAUAUGUUUUGUAUCGUUGUUUGUGUUAACAAUUGUAUGCCAUUUUAGAACAAUAGAAGUUGAAGAUGCUAAAUUUGGGGAAAAACCUCGAUGUAAUCUCACAAGUGGAGUCUGCAGAAGGUAGUGUGUACACAUACCUUACCCCUACGUUGUGAAUACAGAGAGAUUGUUUCCGAUAGACCCUCAACUCACAAAAUCAGUAAGAAAAGGAAAUUAAAUACAAUAGUGAAGAAGUCACGAAGAAAGAAGAAGAGAGCUGCAAGCAAUGCUUAAACAAUAGUUUAUGGUUGAAACAUCACAAUUUGAUUCAUCUAUUUUAAAAGUAACGAUUCCUCAUUUCACAGAGAUGAAACUAGAACAACACUUCACCUGAAGUGAAGCUUCCAGACUUCUCGAACAUUCGAGGAACCAUCAGUAACCUCGGAAAUGAGAGAAGCUGCUAGAACACCUGAUGAAGAAAACAAGAAACUCAUGAGUAUUCUCUUAAAACAUCAACUGGAAAUAACGAAAAGGGUUAAAAGCAACGAUGAUCAGUAGGAUAGUGCAUGAUAAGCAAUUUGAAGCAAUGCAGACGAGCAAGCUAACAGCGAUAUGAAGGUAUUGUAUUGAUCACACAACCCGGACUGGACACUAGCUGUGUGUAGCAACUGGAAUCCUCAUGAUAAUCCAGGCGCACUAGUCGCUCAUGUGAUUCUAGUAAGAAUAGGAUGCAGUGGAGUAUUGAGCUCUAUCUAUUAGGAAACUAGGCGUUUGAUGGAUCAUAUGAUAAAAUAUGUCUAAUUCAUUAACCCUAAAAAGCAGUCACCGGAGUGAGAUAAGACAUGAGAAGCAUUGUUAGUCGAGGCACUCGGGGGCAGGGGGAGUAGAAACAAGCCUCUACUCCCGCUCCACCUCAUGGCAUGACCAAUGAAGCAUAAUGAUCCUCAAACAACAACAAUAUACCCAGUGUAAUCCCCAUAAAUGGAGUCUGGGGAGGGUAGGGUGUACGCAGACCUUACCCCUACCUUUGGGGGUAGGGAGACUGUUUCCAAUAGAACCUUGGCUCAAAAGAGAAAAGCAUGAUGAUCACCGAAAAAAAGAAAAAAGAGACUGAUAACCAGUUCAUAAUUCAACAGCUUUAGAGGACAACGAUCCAGUUCACAAUGGAAAAUGCAGUAGGAAGUAUAUUAAUAGGAAUAAGAGUAAAAGUAAACAAAGUAGCACACCGUCUUUCUCCACAAUCGAAAUAAAUCGCCUUGAUCCACCACCAACACCAAAAUAAUGCUUCUUUGCAGCUAGAUAUACAAUACCAUGAGGACUACAUAAGCACUGCACAAAAAAUAGAAAAAGGAAGGAACAAAAGCAAAAGCUCAGACGCAAGGAGAUUCACCGAUAGAACUAAAAUUAGAAUUUCAACCAAAACAAACCUUUUUAAUAAGUUUGUACAGACUAGGUAGAGUAGAAACUGAGUAAACUGUCUCAGCCAUGAGAAUUAUAUCAUAACCAGCAGCCUGAUCAACUGUUUGGCCCUUUUUUGUGACAUCGUCAUCAGCAGGUACAUGAGGAAGAAUCAGAUGAGCUUCAUUCCAAUCACUUGCAAAGAAGCGAACUUCAGCACUAUUAUUGUCAUCUGUGGCCGACAAGUUCUGUUGAAUAUUGGCAUUGACAUUUGGAAUUGUUAGGCAUUGGAGCACCUCAGCAUUGAAGUCCUGAAAGUGUACAGCACGAGCACCCUAGUACAACGAAAGAAAAAAUCUUGAUCAAGAGGACGAUAAUGAGACAAUUAAUCGAAAAUCAGUUAAGGCAUUUAUGUACCUUAAGGCAUGCAAAGAUCCCAGGAAGACCAUGACCACAACCAAGCUGAAAACAAAUGAAAGAGAGUCAACAAGAUUAAUAAUGGAAGAUAAUUACAAGAGUAAAGUAUUGAGUCAAGAUUAGUUGGCAAAUCUAAAAGCAUUAGGGUGUUGAUCCCUCAAGGAUAAUCACAACUGAAAGAUAAAAAUGAUAAUGACAGUAACUAUGACGAAGUCUUAUUUAAAUGAGAGAACUGAAAUAUGUUAUAAUGAAACUUAAUAGGAAAUCAACAUUUCCACUAUCAAUCUCAAAUUUGACCUCAACUAUUUAUGUUCAAUCAAAGGGGUAAAGAAAACUGAGAAGACUUCCUCAAUUGAAAAACUGAAGUUGAGCAAAAAGGGAGUGAUUGGAGAUGAAAAAUUUCCUCCCCUAAAGACGGUUUCUCCGGGUAUUCAAUAAAAACUUAAAGUGAUCAUAGUCGAUACAAACUUGCACAACUAUAAAAGAGAAUCACCUAUCAAUAUCUCUUUCUUUGGCAGAAGCAUAUGAUCUAUUUAGGGAAAGCAAAAGUUGUUAACAGAAAAAGAACUUUAGUAUGCUUAACGAACAUAAUAAAUCGGACAUCAUUUUGACUAAAACUGCAAUGAGAAGGUUAAUGGAAAGCCGAAGCUAAGAGUGGAUUUAAUAUGUUAGGAUUAGCAGUCUCUAGGCAUAGCAUACAAGAUCAAAGAUUUCACCUCCACAUUAGGAGCCCACCUCUAAAACUCUUUUUCCAGUCAAUGAUAAUUUGCCGCUUUGCAUCUCAGAGCUUAGAGUCUUCACUAAAUCUAAUGAACCUUCCCACAAUUUCAGCCCCCCUGCGAAAUGAGAAUAACAUAAAUGAGAAUAUCAGUCAUCUAGGUGCACUUCACAUUCUAAUUAGUGAUCAGUAAGCACUACCAUAUCUGUAAAUAGAAUGGCCUUGGGACUUUUUUCUCAAGACUUACUGUCCUGCCAUGAACUUUCCCUUACAAAACUCUACUUUAUUUGGCAAUAAAAAUUGAUGUCACUACAUCUUAUUCCACAUCUGAUAAAUUUAAAAUACUCCUAUAAAAACGACAUUCAACUUAAUAAAGUUCACAUAAUUCAUGUUGAGGUAUCAGUAUUUGUGAUGAGCAUGAAGGAGACAAAAUGGAGAACUAAAUUGUUACGUACCUUCAUAUUUCCCGGGGAUUAAAUCUGAAUUAGACAACCCAAAUACCUCCUUUGUACUGACCCUUCCCUAGAAAAGAAUUAAACACCAGUUAAGGCAACUAAACAUAAACUAAAUCAUUCCUUUCUUCCGUUAAAAAUGGUUUCCAUGGAAAAUGUUUUACCUUAGGAAAUCAUAGGCACGAAAUCAUAAGUGUUUGUUUGGUAACAAAAGCAGGUAACAAUUGGUACUUGUAAAAGACAUUGUACAGAGUAUAAGUACAGUGUCAUUACGAUGAUAUCUUUUAGCAGGCUCACAAGUAUUUCUAGAAAAGUUGAUCGAAACAAGCUAAUCGAAGUAAAAGCUAGAAUCUUUGUACAGAAAAAUGACUCAACUUAUUAAAAAAAUUGUUUUUUGGAGAAAAAACAUUUCCGCAAUUGUAAGUAACCAAACACUGAAAAAUGAUUUUAUCAAGAAAAAUAUUUUUUAGCACAUAAAAAAGGAAGGAGUUAAUAAGAUCAUAGAACUAAUCUUACCUUAAGCAAAGUAAGGCCAUCCAAAUCUAUAGGCUCCACAUUGAACUCCACAUUUGAUGAAACCUACUCCAACAACAAUAACAAUAACUACGCCUCAGUCCCAAACAAGUCGGGUUCGGCUAUAUGAAUCUCAACUUCUUCAUUUAAACUCAUUUCAUAUCAUAUCAUACUAAACAAAAUAAAAGUAAAAAAUAAGCACUUCCUCCGUUUCAAUUUGUUUGUCUUGCUUACGCAUGUUUCAAAAAGAAUGUCACUUUCUUUUUUGGCCACUAUUUGAUUCCAACUUCCACGUGACAUAUUUAAGACCACAAGAUUAAAGCACACUAGGAUACAUCCUACAUACAUUUAGUUAAAGACCACUCGAUUAAAGGAUACUAGGGUGCAUCCUACAUAUAUUUAGUUAAAGACUACAAGAUUCAAAAAUCUUAUUUAUUUUCUAAAGUUUAGUGGCAAGUCAAAACCAGACAAACAAAUUGAAGGAGUAACAAUAUGAGUUUUCAAUAUAUUAAAAAGAAAAAUCAACUUCUCGAGAUUCAAACUAUGAGAACUUUUUCACCAACAUUUUUAAAUGUGUUCUUCUUCAUCAUAUCGACGGGAGAAUAAUUGCAACUUGUAGUACUUUCUAUCAAUUUAAUCCAACUUAACUUCAAAUAUUAGUUAAAUUAACUCUCGAUAAGCAAAAAGUGUCACAAAAAUACCUGUGAGGGAAGUACUUCAACAGAAGGAGGAGGAGGUGGAAGAGGCUUUUCUGGGCCAUCAAGAAAUCCUGACCCGAAUCCGAAUCCGAACCCAGAUUGGGAUUUUUCAUCAAAUAGACGAAAUGGGUCGGGUCGUCCAGUAGCUGAUGUAUUCGCCUCCAUAACUAAAAAGCUUCAAGUUCGAGCUUUCAGUGUUGAAGACGGCAACUGAUGGAGAAGCAGUAGCUAUUUUUCUAAACGGGCCAAGAUAUAUAUAUAUACGGGCCUUACUUAUUGGGCUUUCGUUUUGUAACGGGCUUACUAUUUGAACUAUCAUUUUGUUGAUAGGCUUAUUAUGGUCGAAGUUAGAUAAUAUAUAGGGAAAAUUACGCGAUUAAACAAACAUACAUUAGUUAAUUAGUUAAUUAGCUAAUAUAGCUACAGUUUGCAUUAUUACAAUUUGGAACCUACUUUUAGCUAUAGUUAUAUUCUCACUCUCGCCUCUCUCCUCUCUUCCUCUCUCCCCUCUCUCUGGAAUCUCGCUCGCCACUCUCCUCUUUUUCAGUCAUCUCUCCCUCGCCUAUCUCAUCUCCCUGCCAGUCUCUUUCUCGAUUCUCUUAUGUCAAUCCCUCUCUCACUUUAUACAACCACAAAUGUAUAAAAUGUGUUUGUGUUAGUAUAAAGCGAGAGAGAUUGAAUAUACAAAUACAAAUGUUUUAACUCGAUUCAAUUGUAUACGAAUUCAAACUUUAUGAAGAUAUAUGUAUACAUAGUAGUUACAUAUAUACAAUUAUCUAACCAAUAUAUACAUAUACAAUUCACCUUUCUCCACUUUCUUCCUUUUCUCACUCGCCUCUAUCCUAUCUCCCAAUCUCGCUCGCCACUUUCCUUCCUAUAACAUGUAGCUACGAAUCGUAAUUAGCAAACUAUAGUUAUGGAGCAUAAUUAAGUUAUUUUUGAGGGAUUGUAUGCGAAAAUUCUCCAUUUAUUUAAUUAUAUACUAAAACAUAUAUAUUUGAUUUCUUUUUUAAGGAUAAUCAACAAUGGAACCAAAAAGGUCCAAUUGAACAAUAUGUGAUUCAAAUCGUGACAACUUGACUAUCUUAAGCUCUAAUUAAGAGAUAAAUUGUUCACAAUUUGGAUGUAAUGCCCAUUAAUUAAAGACAAGAUAAGAAAAAACAACAAAGCAAAGGGCAUGACAUUAUUGAUACAAUUGAUUGACAUAACAACAUUAAGAUGAUGAAACUCUAAUCUUGUUUGAAGUUGAAGAAACUAAGUCAAUGGCACAUCCCAAUGGCCAUGCUGCUCCAACUAGAUAAUUUUUGUAUUGCACAUCAUGUAUCACUGUUAUUUCUUUGUGUGGAUUUAGUCCUGUCCAAAAAAAGAGGGCGGGGGGGGGGGGGGGGNNNNNNNNNNNNNNNNNNNNNNNNNNNNNNNNNNNNNNNNNNNNNNNNNNNNNNNNNNNNNNNNNNNNNNNNNNNNNNNNNNNNNNNNNNNNNNNNNNNNNNNNNNNNNNNNNNNNNNNNNNNNNNNNNNNNNNNNNNNNNNNNNNNNNNNNNNNNNNNNNNNNNNNNNNNNNNNNNNNNNNNNNNNNNNNNNNNNNNNNNNNNNNNNNNNNNNNNNNNNNNNNNNNNNNNNNNNNNNNNNNNNNNNNNNNNNNNNNNNNNNNNNNNNNNNNNNNNNNNNNNNNNNNNNNNNNNNNNNNNNNNNNNNNNNNNNNNNNNNNNNNNNNNNNNNNNNNNNNNNNNNNNNNNNNNNNNNNNNNNNNNNNNNNNNNNNNNNNNNNNNNNNNNNNNNNNNNNNNGUAAGUAUAUGUAUCGAGAGGAUCGAAAGGACAUAAUUUAACUUAUUAAAGUCUUAAUACACUUAGUCAGAUAUCACAUGGAUUAAAAUAAUAGAGAAACCAAAAGUACUAUAUUGACCCUUAGUUGAAUAACCUAAAUGUCAUUCUAGUGAAACAUCUGAUCAGUGUAUAUAAGUUAAAUUCAAAGAGUUGGAAAAUAUAUACUUACCAAAUCCAUCAACAAGCAAAGUGUACUCAUAUAUCAAGUCCAUACACAAGUAUGGGAUAUUUCUAUCUUGAGUUUUUGGGAAUACAGAUUUUAUGUCUGCCACAUUUGUUUGGCAAGCAACUUUAGCUGCAUUUAAGUAUUGAAUUGGCUUUGCUAGAGCAGAUGGAAAUUUGGUGUCAACAAUGCCAACCUACAAUGCAAAAUUCAACACCAAAAAAUGAUGAUACAUAUAUACCAAAGUAAUAUAAAUAUUAUAACAAUUGACAACUACUACUAGACACUUAUUGGUACAUGAUUAGGUGUCAAGCUCGUGCCGUAAAGUGUUGUGGUUAAGCCCUAUAAUGAGUGCGACCAUAAUUUUUCAUUGUCAUUAUUGAGUUUGAAACUAUAUAUAAAUUAUCGGUGAUAAGUCGGAAAAAGGUUAAUUAGAUAGUAACAAACCCUUAUAGUAUUGUCUACAUCCGAUCAUCAAGUCGUAUAAAAUAGCUCAUCAUAGCCACUAUAGCGACCCCUGCCCCAACUCUAAAUGAUAAGUAUACCCUCCACCAACUUCCUUUAUCACCAAAUUUGAUUAAUUAUUAUCAAGAAAAUUCUUCUUUUCAUUCCUAACAUGCACUACUUAAUUUCAAGUGAAAAACUUGAAAUUAGCUACGAACUUUGUUGCUAGUUCAUCGUGCUUGUAGCUAAGGCUAAUCCGUUGCUGCUAAAUAGAAUUAGCGACAAAUUAGGCUAUUUAAUUAGCCACAAAAUUUAUCCGCCGCUAGAUUCAAUUCUUUUUUAGUAUAGUAACAUUUUUCUAAAUUGUUGCAUAUAUAUAAAAAUUAAUUUUACCUGAGCACCAAUAUCAUAAAAAAAUGAUGAAGCAUGAAUAUUUUUUUGUCCAUCACCACCACCACCAUUCCACACUCCAUUGAAGGUGCAUUCUUCAUUCUUGCAUUUUGUAUUUACUUUAAGUGCAUGUCUAGUUAACCUCCUGCAUCUCUUCCAACUACUACCUUUCUUUGGUGCUUUUACUUUGUAGUCCACUCCUCCAUAUGAGUAAUACCCUAGAAGAAAAAAAAAAUGAUUUCUAGAAUAAGCAGUUACGUGUUUAGAUUAAAAAAAAAGUACUGAUGAAACUGAUAAUAGAUCAUUUUACAAUUAAAAAAAUAUAAUCAGGAUUGAUCAACUUAUAACUUUUGAUUCAUGAUUUGAUUUUAAAAUCAUAGAUAAGUUUAAAAUUAUUUAUAGGCUAGCUAUAGAGCUAGUUUAAUCAGUUUAUAAGUUUGACCAAACACCCUACAUAUAGAGAUACUUAAGUAUUGUUAAGGUAUAUAUAAAUUUAAGUUAUAUACAUUAACAGUUAACAUCAUAAGAUUUUUUACACGAUCAAUAUGGUUUAGCUUAUUAUUGUAGCAUAACUAUUUCUCGUAUUAUUAUAACUGUUUCGGACAAAAUAUAAUUUGUGGUGAAGAUUAGUAAUUAAUUAGAAUUUAUAAGAGAUUAUAGGUAUGUUUAUAUACCAUCAUAUCCUUCCAAAGCACAAGGAUUACUUUCAUUUCUUGAAGCCUUGAAAAUCUCAGCUCGACCUGCUAAUUGCCCAUAGUUUAAAUAACUGCAUAUAUACAUUAAAAAUACAUAAUCAAUAUAUUAUAAUUAUUAAAUACACUAAAAUCUUAAUUAUUGAAUUAUUGUAAGUUGCACUUUUCCCUUUAAUAUAUGAUCUUAUGUGACAUGAAUCUAGAUUAGUCGAGACUUCAAAGCAAUUUAGGCUGAGCUAGACUUUUUAGUUUAUUGGUUCUAGACCAUAAUUCUUUUUACUUACACUAUUUCAAAAAUAAUCUUUAACACUUGAUUGCCACUAAAUACAUUUUUUAAAGACAAGUAAUACUCUUUGUAAAUGUCCCUAAAGUCUAUAACGACAUAGAUUCAGUAACAUGAAUUAACUAAUGUCGGUAAAAAAUUUAACACUCUUUGUUUAUGUGCAUAUUUCUUAUAUAUACCGCUAUUUUUUUAGUGUUACUUGGUUCUGAAUAGGUUAUUUUUACAUAUUAAACCAAAAUAACCAUAAUUGUUCUGUCCCUGCAAAGCGAACAUUAUACGUGUAUACAGAUCGAGUUUGAGCUAAAGUUAGUUAGUUCUCAUGUCAAACUCGUACCCUUGCAAAGUGAGUACCAGAUAUCGAGUGAAAUAGAAAAGGAGGAGAAAACAAACCUAUGUACGUAGAGAUUAUAAUCUUUUGACAUAAGAUGUUUUUGUUGAACAUAAGGUUCUCCAUCCUCAUUUUUAGGAGCUUUUGCAAAUUGUUCAUUUGAUAUAGCAUAUGCCAUUUGGACUGAACCACCACCAAGAUCAAUUGUUGCUGUUGUACUUUUAUAAUCUUUGCCCAAAUUUCCCAAUAAAUAAUUUAUUGCAGCCUAUUAAUAAAUAAAAUAUCAAAUAACCAAAAUUAGAAAGAAACUAAAAAGGAUUUUUAAACUUAUAAUAGCUGAUUUAAAUAAAAAGAUUUGCUAAUUAGUUGAGAUCUUUUACUUACCCUACACUAUGAUAUUUUAUGUUUACUUUUUAAAGAUCAAUUUAUAUGAGAGUUGCAUGUAAUUAUUAUAUUAUAUUAUUUAAUAUUCUCAUGGCCUUUGGGUAUAUACAAAGAGACUCACAUUAAAAAGUCAACCGUCUUUACACAAAUAACCUAUCAGAUUCACUAUUUAUUUUGGGUGAAAAAUAUACAUAGAUUAUACACUUUUAAUAUAUGAGUUAUAUAAUACUGUUAAUUAUUUUUAAUUUAAAGAGUUAGAUGAACGACUUACCCACAUAUAAGAGCCUUCUUGAGUUCCAUCAAGAAUAGUGACCCAUUGAUCUUUGCUAUGGAAAGUGCUUUGAUUCUUCACUAAAUUUCUCACCUUUUAAAAUUGAAAAAUAACAACAAAAAAGAAUUAAUUAAUAAAGUAGUAAAAGGAGGAUUAAUUAUUUUUUAAAAUAAUAAAAGUAUUUUUUCUUCAAGUUAAUAAUAUACUGCUUGUAGAAUUUUUUCAGCUGCAUCCCCUUUUAACAUCCUAAGACCUGCUGUUGCCUGUAAUCAUUUAAAUAAUUCACACAAGAAAACAAUAAUUAAAAGAUUAAUCAAAAGUCUCAUUUAUCAUAAACAAUUCUAAAUGAUAAAGUAACAAUACUAAAAUUUGCAUAAUUAUUUUCUAUAUUAUAAUAAAGUACUUCUUUCUUUUAAUCUCAUCCGGUGUACGUUCAGACCUGCAUUGAAGCCUGACUAAACCUGAAUUCUUACCAAAAAUCUCAUAUAAAAAGGAACUCGAAUCCAAUUAUAUACUUCUAUUAUAUGAUAAUACAAUUGUAUAUUAUGUUAAUAGGAUUUAACCUAUAUUGUGAUCAUUGACAGUGUAAAGAUUUUUCAUACUAUAAAUGUAAUUUUACUUAUUGUCACAAGUUGCUUGAUCUAUCUUUCUUCAUAUUAUUAGUUUCACUUGUUAUGAACAAUUAUAUAUAGGUAAUUAUUUUCGUAGAAUUUUUUAUUGUUAUCUCUUUUUAUGAUAAUUAUUUAAUAUAUGACCUUUUUCGCGUUUUAAAUGAUCUGAUUAUGUAAAAUAUAUAUAUACUAACCCCAAGUUCUAAAGGUGUUUCAGAUUGCAAUUCUUGUGGAACAACUCCUUCAGCUCCAUCUAAAAGUGGCUCAAGUGAAUUGGCUGCAGCCUUUGGAUCUUCUGCAUAUGAACUUAAACCUGGCUCUGUCUAUAAAAUCAAGAUAAAAUUAAUUAAAUUAAAUAUUAUAUAAGAUUUUAAAAGAGGGGGUGGGGGUGGGGGGCGGUCUGAAUUUUAAAAAAUACAUUUUACUAUAUUUAAAUUGAAUCGGUAAUUAGAUCUCUAGCUCUCAAUGAUCAAGUCCAAGGACAGAUCUAGGUAGGGUUUAGGAGUUUCAUUCGAACCCCAUACGAUUAAAAAUUACACUAUAUAUACAAGUUAAAUUUAUUAUUUGACUCCUUCAUAUAUUUACUUUUCAUAAAUUAAACCAUCUAAGUAAUAAUCCCGACUCUUCCACUAAUCGAGUCCACCAGUUACCACUAGUUCUCGAUUUGACUUAUAUACACAAACAAUGUAAAAAACUUUUAAGCGAUAUAGCAUGAUCUUACCUAAAAGAUGAAUAAUAUAUAAGUGGAACUAACUUCAUAAUGAAUAAUAAAUAAACCACUAUAGACAACAAGUUAUAAAUUACACCGUACUGAUAGUAUAAAAAAUAUUUACACGUAUGAUAUAUAUAAUUUAAAUUCGAAAAUUUAUUUCUAACUCAUUCAAAACUAACAAACGCGUAUUUUACGCCACAAUAAAAUAUAGUAUUGUAAAAAAAAAAAUACAUACAUACCGCCAUAAAAUACUCAAUAUUGUUGCCAAUAGGAAGAAGUCCUAAUUUUUCAUCAAAUCGAAAAACAUGAACUCUACUUCCAGUACUUCCAGCAUCAAAUAUUACUGCAUAAUGUUCUGAUUCAUGACUUAAUAAAUGUCUUCUUAAUGGAAUUUGAGCAUCCACAUUUUUGGAUAAUAAACUUAGGGGCAAAACCAAAAAUAUUGCCAAAAUUGUGAAAAUAAAAUGACUAUUUUGGUUCAACAUUUUGCCCCUAUUUGAAGAGAUUUCUGCAUGAAAAAAUAAAUAAACAAGUUAUAUAAAUAUAUAAAAAUCUAUGUAUUUUUUAUGGUAUAAUAAUAUUAAUAGAAUCAGAUUACUUAAAAGGUAAUUCCAGGUUGUUGUCUUAAAUAAGUAUUAAUUGAUGUGAAAUUCUCCAUGUUAUCAAUAUUUAAAUUAAAGACAUGAUACACAUAUAUGUAUAGACUAUCAGAAAAUCAAUAAUUUUGAACGUCCAGUCAAAAUUCAUGCUCUAAUAAAAAAAAAUUGGAAAAUGUUUCGACGAACUAAUUUUUUUACGGAAACUGGUGGAACAUAGCAAAUACUUUAUAAAAUAAGUUUAAGUGUGCAUAAACUGACUCAAACAUUAUAAUAAUAAUAAAAAAUAUCUGAAAAGAGAGAGGGGAGAGGGAUGCCUUUAUAUGCUUUUGGGAGUGAAGGUGAUGAAGCAAAUGGUUCAUCUUGUCCUCUCUUAUAUAGCCUCAUUUCAUAUAUAUUGUAAAUUAUAAAUAUAAAAACCCAAAGAAAAGUCGUUACUCAUGGAACAUGUGAUACUACUACUAUCUUUGUUCCGUAUUAGAUGAACAUUUUUUAUUUUAUACGAUAACUAAGAAAUCAUUAAUAAAUUGAUAUUUUUUAAUAGGAAAAAUUCUUUUGGCCAGAAUGGUAUUUUACCUAUGUUAUUUUAUCUUUUUGAACAUUUUUACCAUUUUAACUUUAAUACACUUUAACUAAAAGAUGAAAAAAAUCAGUUUAUUUUAAAAUAAAAAAGAUAUUAUAAUUUUUAAAAAUUUAUGGCCAAAUUCUGGCCAACUUUUCUGGCCAUUUAGCAUUAUCCUUUUUAAUAUUGUGCCCUUUGUUCAUAUUAAUUAGUUUGUUGAAAAAAUAAAUUUUGAAUUUACAAAAUUUGUUUAAACUUCCAAAGACCAUAUUAAUUAUAGGGGUAAAAUGAGAAAAAAUAAUUAAUUAUAUCCUAAUUUAGUAAGUGAUCAAGUAAUAUGAAACGUAUAUUUUUAGUAAGAUGUCAAUCUAAUAAGAGACGGGGGAGUACUAUUAUCCAAUUAAAUAUAAUAUAAUGAUUUGAUGUACCAAUUAUGAAGAUUAUUAUAUUAUUUUUAUAGUAUAAUUGAUUUUGUCAUUUUUCAAUUAUAAGAUCAAACCUUUCAUUUUCUAUCUAUUAAUAUAAGUGAAAAUUACAAAAGUAUACUAUUUAAGACUUUAACUAACAAUAUAUACACAUACUUAUAUUUAAUUACAAAUGAAGUUUCUAAAUUACAGACAUAACAUAUUUAAUUAAUUUUUGUUUUAAAUUAUUAUUUAUUUUCGAUUUUAGUAUAUCAUUUUUUGGGGAUUCUGUGCCUAUUUUUGGGGAAUGAAAAGAUUAAUAUAUUAUUUUUAUAAUAUAAUUGAUUUGCCAUUUUUCAAUUAUAAGAUCAAAGCUUUCAUUUUCUAUCUAUUAAAGAAACACAUAUUGUCUUAAAUUAAUUAUUGCAUUAGUGACUACUGCCUUUCAUAUUAAAUAUCGCUAAUGAUAUGAUUUUUGUGUUGUUUUCUUUAUUAGAUUCACAAAAAUUAGUUGAAUCAAAAUUCAUGCUCUAACGAAAAAGGUUUGGAAAAUAUUUCGACGAACUAUCUUUUUUACGGAAACUGGUGGAACAUAGCAAAUACUUUAUAAAAUAAGUUAAAGUGUGCAUAAACUGAAUCAAACAUCGUAAUAAUAAUAAUAAUAAUAAUAAUAAUAAUAAUAAUAAUAAUAAUAAUAAUAAUAAUAAUAAUAAUAAUAAUAAUAAUAUCUUAAAAGAGAAAGAGAGGGAGGAGAGGGAUGCCUUUAUAUGUUUGUGGGGGUGAAGGUGAUGAACCAAAUGGUUCAUCUUGUGCGCUCUUAUAUAGUCUCAUUUCAUAUAUAUAUAUAUAUAUAAAUAUAAAUAUUAUUACUAUCUGUUCCGUAUUAGAUAGACACUUUCUAUUUUACACGAUAAUUAAGAAAUCAUUAAUAAAUUGAUCAAUUUUUACUAUUAUUCCCAUUGUUUAUAUUAAUUAAUUUGUUGAAAAAAUAAAUUUUGAAUUUUCAAAAUUUGUUUAAACUUUCCAAGACCAUAUUAAUUAUAGGGGUAAAAUGAAAAAAGAAUUAAUUAAUUCUAUCCUAAUUUAGUAAGAUGUCAAUCUAAUAUAAGACGGGGGAGUGCUAUUAUCCAAUUAAAUAUAAUAUAAUGAUUUGAUGUACUACCAAUUAUGAAGAUUGUUAUAUUAUUUUUAUUAAUAAAAUUGAUUUGUCAUUUUUCAAUUAUAAGAUCAAAGCUUUCAUUUUCUAUCUAUUAAAGAAACACACACUGUCUUCAAUUAUUGCAUUAGUGACUACUGCCUUUCAUAUUAAACUAGAUCAGUGAUGGCCCAUGCUAAGCACGGGCCCAAUAUUCUUGAAUUUUGAUCCAACAAUUAAUAUAACAACAUUACUAUUACUAAUAAAAAUGUUAACAAUUGUCAUCACUAAGUUCAAACAAUAGAAAGAAAAAAAAAGUGAACAUAACUAUUCCUCCUAAAUCAGCAAUAUAGAAAAGGGAAAGUGCUGAGAACUAUUCUGAGAUACACAACACACACACAGGCAUAACAGUGCAGCAUUUGCUUACAGAGAAAAUAAAAAUAGGUCUUUUUUAUAGUAUCAAUGUUUACAAGUCUAAUGUGAUAAAUCAAGUGAGCAUCUUUUCUGAUACAUCUAGAAAGAAAGAAAUCUGAUCUUAAAGGUAAUUUAGAGUCGUCAUGAAAUUACAUAGACCUUCAGCUCUGGUUUCUCCUUCAUUUUCCUUUUUGUUUCCUUUGAGCCAUGAAGUUAGGCAGGGCAACUCCAAUCUGUUCCAAAACUUUCUUCAACAUUGUUAUAUAAUACUACAAAUAGGGCUAGAGCUUUUAGGCGAAUUGAAUAUAUCUAGUAUGAAUCAGGUCUAAAUGAGUAGCAUAUGUAUGAAAAGUUGGAGCAAAAAAUUAAACCCCAUAAUAUAGAAAAAGAGAUAACCUUUGAGUUUGCUGAUAAGCAAAGAUUCCAGUAACCCAAACACACAAAAAAUCAAAAUCAAGCAAAAACUAAUAACUAAUGACAAUACCCUUUCCACCUCAAGCUUCUUGAUAUCAUCAUUAUCUCCAAAAUAAGUGGAAAUUCAAAUAUUUCAUAUGAAACUCUUACAAUUUCGGCACACAUAUAACUUGGAACAAAAAUAAAACACAACUUUAUUUCAUUUACAAUCAAUGCCUAUAUUUCAUUCCUCUGAUGAACAGAUAGAGGACUGGAGGUACUUGCUGAAAGGAAAGAUAUAACAAAACUCAAUCUACUAUCAGUAUCAUGCAUCAUCUGGAAGGCAAACAUUUAACUCUGAUAUUACAAAAGAGCAUAAUAAAUGAAAGAGAUAGAAAGACAGAAAGGAAUAGGAAUAUGCAAAAUUCAAAAAUAAAUAAAUUUCUUACCUCUUCAGUGUCUCGUAAUCAUCUAUAUCUCUUAUUUGCUCUUGGUUAUACAAAGUACCAUGGUCCAAAGACGCUGCAAAUCAGUUGUAUGGUCAUGCCGUCAUGGUAAUCAUAUCCGUAGAUGUCGUGUUGAACAAAAUGUUUGUGGUUAGGGUACUUUAAAAGCUUUUUUCAUUGCUAGUAACUUUCUGAAUAUGAAGCUUUAAACACAUUACAACCAUAUCUCAUAAUACAUGAAUCACAACCAAUAAACAAAACAAACAAACCAAAUUUAAGUAUCGUUUGGGUUUGUGAAAAUUUUCUUCGUUUAUCAUAUGUAUGCUGGGAAAAGCAGCUGACAUGAUAAUACGAAAUGAACAUGAGUUCAUACAUCACAAAAUGUGAAGAUCAAUAAUACCAUUCUAACACUAAAAUUCAAGUAACAGUAAGAAAAAAUCCAAAUAAUUCAUGAAUCGUGUCUUGAAAGUUUUGAAAUAAUAAAUCUAAUGAUUUAUCCUCUGCACAUUUUCUGCAUUUUUGCUUAAGAGGUGAUAAGUUUUCUCAUAACCUAAACAAUAGGUCCACUAAUUUGAGUAUACUUUCAAAUUCACCUCUCUACUUGAUCCUUUUCAGCUUCUUCCUUCGAAAAUUUGUUUUUUCAAGAUGAAGCUUCCUUUAGCCGCAAGAGGUAGUGUUAAAUUAGGUGUUAGGCCUAACUCACACCCCAAAAGCUAACUCAAAGGGAGGAGGAUUGCCCAAACCUUAUAAGAAGUUCACCCAUCUCAUUAACCAUCGAUAUGGGACUUUUGUCAUGCUUUAACACCCCACCUCACGUGCUUAGCAUCUGGUGCGUGAGCAAUUUUGAUUUUUGGGAGCCCCAACAUCGGGUGAGAUGGGCCCUGCUCUGAUACCAUGUUAAAUUAGGUGUUAGGCCUAACUCACACCCCAAAAGCUAGCUCAAAGGGAGGAGGAUUGUCCAAGCCUUAUAAGGAGUCCACCCAUCUCAUUAACCACCGAUGUGGGACUUUUGUCAUUCUUUAACAGUUAAAUUAGGUCUUUAAGCCUAACUCACACCCCAAAAGCUAGCUCAAAGGGAGGAGGAUUGUCCAAGCCUUAUAAGGAGUCCACCCAUCUCAUUAACCACCGAUGUGGACUUUUGCCAUUCUUUAACAGGUAGGUAACUGAUGGUAGGUGUAGAAAUGGUGUACUAUAUCUGAUUUGUGCCUCCUCUUUGACAAAAAGUCAGCAGUACAGUUUGUAGAAAAAUCAACAAUACACUCGCCUCAAUUAGGAACAUGAAGUAGAAAAUUGAUUAGGAUAAGAAAAUUCAACAUUAAACUAAUCUCCAUUAGAAACAUUCAAUUAGAAAAUUUCAUGAUAAACUAACCAAAAAUCAAAAAUCACUCAAAAAUUGGAAUUAAA
rnacentral:lncRNA from 1 species